rnacentral:lncRNA from 1 species
AACAACCAAAUUAGUGACACUUUUCCCUCUUGGUUAGGAACUCUUCCAAAAUUAAAUGUUCUCAUCCUACGAUCCAACAUAUUUUAUGGCGUUAUAGAAGAAACCAGAACUGGUUGUGGAUUUUCUAAACUCCGCAUUAUUGACCUAUCUAACAAUAGAUUUACUAGAAAGCUUCCAUCAAAGAGUUUCCUGUGUUGGAAUGCCAUGAAAAUUGUCAAUACAAGUGAGCUAAGAUAUCUGCAAGAUGUGCUUUUUCCGUACGGGCAAAUGUUUUUUUUUGUUUUUUUUUGAAUUUUUUUUGUUUUCUGUGUCUGAAUUUUUUUUGUUUUUUUUUAAACGAUGAAGAUGCGUUUCUAAAGUCACUACACUCCAUAUUCAGCCAUCUUCAACACAAAAAGUUAACAACAGUUAGUUUCUACAAUAAAAAAUCAAUAAAAACUUAACCAAGAUUCCACAAUUGUCGACUAUUCCCUCCCCCCAACCAGAACGAAACAUUGUCCUCAAUGUUUUAAAGGAAAUAAGUAGAGUUUAGAAGACAUCACCUGGAUGGUGCAAUAUAGAAAAAAAUAUUUACAGGCGGAGAGUUAAAUGUAAUUUGUACUUCUUACUGCGGCUACUGUUACCAUCAUUAUUUGGACGCUCCAAUACAAAGGUCCAGGGGUCUGGCUCCGGUCUAUAAGCUUGUAACAGAUCAAGUAGCUCAUUAGCAGUGUGGGCACAAAUAAAAAGUUUUUUCGCAUUGGAAGGAAUGAAAUAGUUUUUUAUUGCGUAGUUAAGAAAUGCGAUGAAGCCAUCAUAAAAGUUAUAGAUAUUUAACAAACCGAUGGGUUUUUGGUAAAUGUGCAGAUGGGCCCAAAAUGCUAGUGUGAUAAGUGCCUCUAGUGUUGCAAGAUCUCCUCGAAGGAAAAUAAAAGCAUCAGCAUGAUUAAGCAUUUCAGUUAUUCUUUCUUGCAUACCUGAGACGACUAACUCUUCUCCAGUCGGUGGGUCAGACAAACUGCCCAAAGGUUUUAGGGCUCUUGGGAUGAUGCCUAACACUUGACUUCCUCUGACAAAAGCAGCUUUUGAGACCAAUUUUGAUAACCCUCGGUUACCUCCACCAUACACCAAGUGUAAUUUUCUCUCUGCUAUGCUUCGCCCAAGAUCUAUGGCUGCCUCAACAAACUCUUUAUGUUUGCCAUAAUUAAAUCCAGAAAGCACACAAAAUGUUCUUAAAUUGUCUGUUGGGAGUAGCUGCCAUUGGAAUAUUUCUCAAAAAUAAUUUGUGAGUGCUUAACAAAAAGUCAUAUUUAAAAAUCUUGGUGACAGUGGGUCACAACUGUGUAUGAGGUGGCAUGUCAGUGUCAAAUAACACGUAAAGCACAUGGCUCGCGAGUCAAAAAGAAAAUAGGCGAGUCAAAAAGAAACAAUGAUAAAAUAAAAUUAUUAAAGACAAUAAUGGAAAAGAUAAAACAACAGUGAAAUAAAAUAACAGUGAAGUAAAAGGAUAUUUAGUGGCUCACAUCUUCCUCUGGUUUUACGUCCAGAGAAACGGCUUGAGCCCUCUAUGGGCCGAGGAUAGGCUUCCUAUCCAGUUUUCUUAUAAACUGGCAAACAGGGUCGUUUAUGGUCAGAUUCUCGAGACUGUAUCGUGUAUGCUCUUUCUGGAAUAAUGGCCAUAACUGGAGAAUCGCUCCUUGCACAUAUCCACUGGGAUGCGUUUCAAGAGACAAAAGGAUAUCAUCCAAUGACUCCUUAUUCAAGCCAUCCCUAAUGAAUUGAAUCUUAUCUUCUCUGUUAUCAGACAUCAUUCCUAAAGAACAUGGUUUUUUAUCGCAACUCAUUCUAGCACAUUUAUGACAAGCAACAGAAAUUCUUUGAGCUCGUCGUUUUCUUGCAUAAUUUCCUUUACCACAACCAGGCAUGUAUGCAAUAAAUUUUGGAGGUAACUCACCUGCCAAUCGUACUUUAGCCUCGAUUAACCAACGGAUGUCAGCAGGUAUGUUAUCCCUCAUGAGCAAUCGCAUGCGUUCGGACCGAGCUUUAUAGAUUGUAAGGAGGGCAUUUUGAGGAAGUGAAGGGAAUCGAUUGUGAAGCUUUGCUAGAAUCUCGUUUCUGUCCAUACCUUCGCCUCAGAAUAUUAGUUAUUAUGGGAAACUGAAGUAACCGACUUGAUUGUCACGGAGUACCGUUAUCCGCCACUUCAACGGGGUAACAAAUUAAAGCACACAAAUAUAAAAACAAAUUAAAACAUACAAAGAAAAUUAAAAUCUCCUCUUAUUGAAAUUACCUCAAGCUCCAACUGGAUGUUGUAAACACUUCUUUCAAUGUCUCUGAGUUGGCUUUCUAAAUCCUCAACAUAGGAUACUAACUCUGGUGGUUGUCGAGCCCAAAUACGAUGUGUCUUACAAAAUUGAAUCUGCCUUUUGAGAUGAGAUUUUACACGUUGAAGUGGUUUAAGAAUGUUCAGGAGGAACUAUUUAAGUAUGGUACUCAUGAUUAACAAUAAUAAGAGAAAACUUAAUGGUUAAACAAACACACUUAUGCAAAAAUAAUUUCAAUUAGCAAAAGAAUAAUAAAAAGAAAGAAAAAAAUCAAAUCACCGAAAAAAAAGAAAAAAAUCAAUUCAAAUCUUGUGGGUCACUCAAAUUUAUUUCGAUGUCCUCUCCAUGUGUUGGUAAUCUAGAUAUGGCUUUAAUCUUUGACCAUUAACUUUAAACGUGACACCGUUCUUUGGCUCCUUAAUUUCAAUUGCCUCAUAUGGAAAAACAGUAUGAACAAUAAAGGGGCCAUACCAUCGAGAGCAUAACUUACCUGGGAAUAGGUGCAAGCGAGAAUUGAAUAAAAGCACUUUCUAACCUGGAGUGAACGAUUUUCUCAUAAUUUGCUUGUCAUGGAAGACUUUCAUUCGUUACUUCUAAAUCUUGGCAUUUUCGUAUGCAUCAUUGCAAAUUUCUUCAAGUUCUGCCAGCUGUAAUCUUCUUUCUGAACUAGCUUGCUACAUGUCAAAGUUGAAUUUCUUGAUGGCCCAAUAUGCACGAUGCUCGAGUUCCACAGGUAGGUGGCAAGCUUUUCCAUACACUAGCCUGUAGGGUGACAUCCCAAUCGGGAUCUUGAAAGCCGUUCUAUAUGCCCAUAACGAUUUUCUUAUAAUGUGCUUGUCAUGAAAGACUUUCAUUCGUUGCUUGUAAAUUUUGGCAUUUUCGUAUGCAUCAUUGCGAAUUUCUUCAAGUUCUGCCAGUUGUAAUCUUCUUUCUGAGCUGGCUUGCUGCAUGUCAAAGUUGAAUUUCUUGAUGGCCUAGUAUGCACGAUGCUCGAGUUCCACAGGUAGGUGGCAAGCUUUUCCAUACACUAGCCUGUAGGGUGACAUCCCAAUUGGGGUCUUGAAAGCCGUUCUAUAUGCCCAUAAUGCAUCACUAAGUCUUAAUGACCAAUCUUUUCUGUCUGGCCUCACCGUUUUUUCUAAUAUGUGCUUUAUUUCUCGAUUGGAUAUCUCAACUUGGCCACUGGUUUGCGGAUGAUACGGGGUCGGCACUUUGUGUGUGAUUGAAUACUUUGUCAAAAGUGCUUUGAAUGCUUUGUUGCAAAAGUGGGCACCACCAUCACUGAUUAUUGCUCGAUGGAAUCCAAAGCGUGAAACAAUGUUGCUUUUCAAAAAUCCUAUCACCACUUUGUGAUCAUUGGUUCUGCAUGGAAUUGCUUCCACCCAUUUUGAUACGUAGUCAACAGCAACCAAUAUGUAUUGAUGGCCAAAAGAAGGGGGAAAGGGUCCCAUGAAGUCGAUACCCCAUACGUCAAAAAUUUCAACCACUAAAAUUGGAUUUAGUGGCAUCAUGUUCCUUCGCGUAAUGCUCCCCAUUCGUUGACACCUAUCACAUGAAGAACAGAAAGUGUAAGCAUCUCGAAAUAUAGUUGGCCAAUAAAAACUACAUUGUAAAACUUUAGUUGCUGUUUUCUUAGCACUGAAAUGGCCUCCACAAGCUUGUUCAUAGUAGAAUGAAAAAAUAUUCUGAAUUUCAUUUUCUGGGACACAUCGUCUAAUAAUUUGAUCUGCACAAUACUUGAACAAAUACGGGUCAUCCCAAAAGAAAUUCUUUAUUUCUGUAAAGAAUUUAGCCUUGUCUUGCUUGGUCCAAUGCUCUGGAAGUUGACCUGUAAUAAGAUAAUUAACGAUAUCAGUAUACCAUGGUAAUACUUCCACACUCAUCAAUUGUUCAUCUGGGAAUGACUCAUUCAAUGUUAAAGGUUCAGUAAUUGUAUCAAAUUGGAGACGAGAGAGAUGGUCUGCCACAACAUUUUCUGUGCCUUUCUUAUCUUUAAACUCCAAGUCGAAUUCCUACAAAAGUAACACCCAACGAAUUAGUCUAGCUUUUGCAUCUUUCUUUGUGAGAAGAUAUUUAAGAGCAGCAUGAUCUGUGAACACAAUUAUUUUACGACCAAUGAGAUAAGAUCGAAAUUUUUCCAAUGCAAACACUACUGCUAGCAUUUCUUUUUCAGUAGUUGAAUAUUUCAACUGUGCAUCAUUCAAUGUCAUACUAGCAUAGUAAAUAACAUGGGGAAUUCGAUCAACUCUUUGUCCUAACACUACUCCUACUGCAUAAUCAGAUGCGUGACACAUGACCUCAAAUGGCAAGCUCUAGUUUGGGGGCUGAAUGAUGGGUGAUGAUGUCAACAACCGCUUUAAUUUUUUCAAAUGACACAAGACAUGAAUCAUUAAAGACAAAAGGUACGUCCUUAGCAAGUAGAUUGCAUAAGGGUCUAAAAACUUUGCUAAAAUCUUUAAUGAAACGUCUAUAAAAACCAGCAUGCCCAAAGAAAUAUUUUACUUCUCUAACUGUUUUGGGUGGAGGAAGAUUAUAAAUGAGAUCCACCUUGGCUUUGUCAACCUCAACACCUUUGCUCGAAAUGAUGUGACCGAGAACAAUACCUUGUUUUACCAUAAAAUGGCACUUCUCCCACUUUAAGAUCAAGUUCUUUUUGAUACAUCUCUGCAGAACUAGUGUUAGAUGAUGUAAACAUUGAUCAAACGAGUCACCAAAAACAGAAAAGUCAUCCAUAAAGACUUCAAGGAAUCGUUCAACCAUAUCAGAAAAAUACUUAACAUGCAUCGUUGAAAUGUAGCAGGUACAUUACAUAAUCCAAAUGGCAUCCUCCUAUAUGCAAAAGUGUCAAAAGGGCAAGUGAAAGUGGUUUUCUCUUGAUCUUUUGGUGUUAUAGGAAUCUGAUUAUAUCCUGAGUAGUCAUCUAGAAAAUAAUAAAAUUCAUGGCCUGCCAAUCUAUCAAGCAUUUAAUCGAUAAAUAAUAAAGGAAAAUGGUCUUUACGCGUAACAGAAUUCAACUUUCUAUAAUCAAUGCAUACACGCCAUCCUGUAGUCACUCUAGUUGGUAUCAAUUCAUUAUCGGCAUUGGUAACUACUGUGACUCAUGACUUUUUGGGGACAACUUAUACAGGACUGACCCAUGUACGUCAAUAUCAAAAUCCAAACCAAAGUGAGUUAAACAUGUUUGUAAAGGAUCAUCACUAAGGUUUGAAACAAAAGUAUUAUCAAUUAAUGCUUCUAUUAAAUCCACAUCAACAAUUCCAUCAUCUGCAUUGUGAGGUUUGGCAAUGUUGAAGAUGUUCAGCUCCAUAGUCAUGUUGCCGAAGGACAACUGCAUAUUUCCAGUCUUGCAUUAAAAAUGAGCAUCCGAAGUUGCCAAGAAAGGUCGGCCUAGGAUAAUGGGAAUGUGCUUCCUUGAAUCCUGUAUUGGUUGAGUGUCAAUUACAAUGAAAUCAACAGGAAAAUAAAACUUGUCUACCUGGAUAAGCACGUCCUCCACAAUACCACGAGGUAUUUUCGUGGACCGAUUUGCAAGCUGUAACACCACUGGAGUUGGGUGUAAUUCUCCCAGUCCAAGUUUCACGAAUACUAAAUAAGGCAACAGAUUUACACUAGCUCCUAAAUCCAACAAAGCAUUCUCAAUUGUGUGGUUCCCUAUACUACAUGAGAUAGUGGGGGAGCCUGGGUCUUUGCAUUUUAGAAGAAUUUUGUGUUGGAGUAUAGAACUAACGUUUUCUAUUAAAAAUGUCUUCUUUUGAACGUGAAUGUUUCUCUUUUUAGUACAAAGGUCUUUAAAAAACUUGGCAUAAGAUGAAACUUGUUUUAUAGCAUCAAGUAAAGGGAUAUUAACACUUACCUGUUUGAAGAUUUCAAGAAUCUCACCUGUGGAUUUUCCCUUCUUUCUUUUAGCUAACCUCUGAGGAAAUGGAGCUUUGGGAACAUAUUCUCGUGGGUUGGUUUCUUCUUUCUCCUCCGAUGGUGAGUCCUCAAUAUUCACAGGUACAAUUUGAUUUUCUUUUGUCACCGGCAUCUCCACUUUAUUGUCGACUUAUUUUCCUUUUCGCAAGGUCAUGACUGCUUUGACCUCUCCAUGCUGUUGUGGUGAACUGGUACUUGCUUCAUGUACUCCUUUAGGAUUAGGCAUUGGUUGACUUGGAAAUUUACCUUUCUUAACAGUCAUUGCCAAGGUCUGAACUGAAGAAGCAAACUGUCCCACUAUCUUCUCAAGGCUUGAAACUGAUUGGGCUUGUGAGUUGAAGCCUACUCUCAACUCAUUUCGUAGUCCAUCAAUGGUGCGGUUCUGUUGCUCAAUCGUAGAGUGAGUAACAUUCUUGAGAUUCUAGAAUGCAUCAUCCCAUGGUCUAGGUUGAGAGUAGUUCUGGUUCUAAUUGUAUGGUCUAAAUAGUAGCUGAGAGGCUUGAGGAACUUGAGUAAUUUGUUGCAUUGGUGGAGCUGGAGCUGGAGCUGCUGGUCCAUUUUGUUGGAAUCCUUGAGACAAUGAAAAAUUGGGGUGGUCUCUCCAUCCAGGGUUAUAUGUGUUGGAGUAUGGGUUGUAAUUUGAUGGUUUUCUCAUUACACCUAUGGCAUUGGCUUGAUCUGAGUAUGAGCCAUGGUCAUGUGGCCCUGUUGAUUUAGCAGUCGAUAACGAUGCUAUUUAUCGAGCGAGACCUUCAACCAUCUCCUUGACUUCUUUAAUUUCUGAACUUGACUCGCCAAUGUGAACCUCAUUUACUCCCUUAAUUCUUCUAGUAUUCCUGAGUGAUCAACUCCGUUGUUGGGAAUUAUCCGUUUGUCGCUAGAAGAAUUCCCAAAUUUCUGAUGCACUUUUUGACAUAGCUCUCCUCCACUUGUUGCCAUUAGUCAUUCUUGCACAUUCGGCAAUAAUCCCUCCAAAAAGUAUUGGCAUUGGUGCCAUUUCUCGUACCCAUAAUGUGGACACUUCAAGAGUAGCCCAUUGAAUCGCUCCCACGUUUCGAAAAACUGCUCAUCUUCUCUCUGGGUAAACUCUGAGAUUUCCCUGCGAAUAGCAUUGGUUUUAUGCACUGGGAAAUAUUUAUUCAAAAAUUUAGUUACCAUUUGUUCCCAUGAUGUAAUGCUAUUGGCAGGUAAUGUAUUAAGCCAUGAACGAGCUCUAUCCUUUAAAGAAAAUGGGAAUAAUCUAAGUUUAACAUCAUCGUCUGAAAAAUUCUCAUAUUUAAAAGUUUGACAAAUAGCAUGAAAAUCAUUCAGAUGAUUAUAUGGGUCCUCAUUUUCUAAGUCAUAGAAUGUUGGAAGACAAUUUAGCACACUAGGUUUUAGUUCAAAAUUGACUCGCCAAUGUGAACCUCAUUCACUCCCUUAAUUCUUCUAGUAUUCCUGAGUGAUCGACUCCGUUGUUGGGAAUUAUCCACUUGUCGCUAGAAGAAUUCCCAAAUUCUGAUGCACUUUUUGACAUUAGCUCUCCUCCACUUGUUGCCAUUAGCCAUUCUUGCACAUUCGACAAUAAUCCCUCCAAAAAGUAUUUGCAUUGGUGCCAUUUCUUGUACCCAUGAUGUGGACACUUCAAAAGUAGCCCAUUGAAUUGCUCCCAUGUGUUCGAAAAACUACUCGUCUUCUCUCUGGGUAAACUCCGAGAUUUUCCUGCGAAUAACAUUGGAUUUAUGCACUGGGAAAUAUUUGUUCAAAAAUUUUGUUACCAUUUGUUCCCAUGAUGUAAUGCUAUUAGCAGACAAAGUAUUUAACCAUGAACGAGCUCUAUCCUUUAAAGAAAAUGGGAAUAGUCUAAGUUUAACAUCAUCAUCUAAAAAAUUCUCAUCUUUAAAUGUUUGACAAACAGUAUGAAAAUCAUUCAAAUGAUUAUAUGGGUCCUCAUUUUUUAGGCCAUAAAAUGUGGGGAGACAAUUUAGCACACUAGGUUUUAGUUCAAAACUCUUAGCAGCUACAUUUGGGUAUCUUAUGCAUGAUGUGCUCAAAUUAGCUAAGGGACUAAAGUAGUCCUUAAAUGGCCUCUCCUGUGGUGCUUGUUGUUGUUGCAAAUCCAUUUUAUUUUUAACAUGUUUGUGUGUGCGCAGUGUUUUUUCUAGUUCAAGGUCUAUAGGUUCCAGAUUAGGUAAUAAUGACCUACAACCAUGCAUGCAAAGAACAAAAAAUAAAUGGGAACAAAACGAAUAAAAAUAAAGAAAAAGGAGAAAUUACGAUACUAACCUUAUCGCGCUAUUACAAAUACACAAAAAAAAUGAAAUAAAUUAACCAAAAAAAAUUAGUAAGAUAAACAAAAAUUACAAAGAAAAAAAUAACUUGAAAAUUAAAUUACAGAAUUUUAAAGAAGAGAAAAAGAAAAGAAAUACUAACCUCUAAAUGGAGUUCAUUUUUUUUCUUUUUCUUUUUUAAAGAAAAAAAUACAAGAAAACAAUUAAGAGAAAUUAUUCAUAAAAAUUAAUUCUAUGAAUUAAAAUUACUUACCUCCCCGGCAACGGCGCCAAAAACUUGUUGUGCAAAUUUUAUUGAACUCCCAAGUGCACGAAUCUAUUGUAGAAUAGAAUAAUGAUGACGAGUGUCGAUCCCACGAGGAAGUGAAUUUUAAUUGUGUGUAGAAUUAAUUUUGUACUGCUGUACGGCCAAGGCGGAUGUACGGUACAGCAGGAUCAUAUUUCAAAUACUAGAAGAACUGCUGUACCGUACAUCCGCCUUGGCCGUAAAUUAAAAUGGCGAGAAUAAAUUGAAGAUAAAUCUAUUGAAUUGAUGUACUUGGGUAUCUGGAUCUGUAUUAACAUGCACCAUGGGCUAAAUAUUCAUUAUUAAUACCAAUUAAAUCCACACCUCAUGAACCACACUUUAAUCAAUAUGGUGCUAAGGGCUUAUCGUGCCAAAUAAUAAUAACCUUGUAUUAGGGAGCCGGUGAAACCAAGACGGUACUAAACAAGAUUAUUAUUAUUUGUUGACGAGAAGUCAAAACAUCCACAAAAACUAGAGAGGAAGAGAAAAUAAAUUUAUCAAAUAAAGGUCAUGACACAUGUUGAGACUUCACCUUCAACCCAAGCUUGAAAGAAAAUUAGCUACUCAUAAUUGAACUAAGGGCAAAAUAGAAAUUUAUUAAAAUACAUAGAAAAUACAAGAUGGAGAAGGAAUUACAGAAAAUGUAGUCCAAAAAUAGAUUCAGAGCUAUCAAAUUAGGGGGGGAAGGCCCCCUUUUUAUAGAUACACUGAGUAAAUCAUGGCUAUCAGAUUAAAAAUAGUUUGGACGCUCAGGAUUGCGCCACGUCAUCAAUCAACAGUACACGGUUUGAACAGUAACACGGUUUGACCCGGCUUGAACAGUAAUGCGAUUUGGUUGAAAAUAAUCCUGUGUAAUGCAUGUACCGUACGCGUGAUUUUUGGUCCACUAAUAUGCUGCCACGUCACCAAUCAACAGUGCAUAAGAAUUUUAGCCCAACAGGAUCGUGACACCUCUUCAGUCAAUGCCACAUCAUCGGUCAAUGCCACGUCAUCGAUCCGUCUAUGUGAACAGUGUCGUGAACAGUAUCGUGAACAGUAUCGUACAUGUGAAUAGUACCGUACAUGUGAAUAGUGCCAUUUUUCCUUUUGUGCUCCUCCUAAGGUUUUCGACUGUUCUGAGUUCAAAAGUGAUGUCCGUUUUGCCAUCUGAUCUCUUGUUCAUUAUGAAAUGACUAUAAUGCCCCUAAAAUACAUAAAAUACUUAAUUAAAAUAAAACACACAUAAUUAAAUCACAAGAAGGUUAAAUACAUAAAAGUAAGGGUGUUAGUAAAACUUGAAGUGUAAAAUGACGAUUUUCUCCUUUAUAAAUAUACAUUUUCUAGCACUCAACACCGGUACAACAUGAUAGGACCAACCAUGUUGAAAUUGACAAUCACUUCAUCAACGAGAUAUCCUAACCAAGGGACUCGUCAAACCUAAUUUCGGAUAUCCUGUCAGCAAGUUAGGAAUGAUUGACAUCUACGCACCAACUUGAGAGGGAGUAUCGAGAAAUUAGGAUUUUUCAGUUAGUUUUAAAGUCUUAUCAUAAUAAAGUAUUAGACAAUUAGUUUUAUUUUUAAAUUCAAGUUUAGAUAAGUAUCCUAUAAUUAGGGGAUAUUUUUUAUGAGUUUGUUUUUAGCAUUCUAUUUAAGUGUAACUUGUAGAAUGAAUGAAACAAGAAAAAAUCAUAUUUCAGACUCUAAAUAUUCACGCGAAUGAUAAUUUUCCUUUUUAAUUUAAAACCACCCUAAGGUGGGCGGGUUAGGCGGGACCCUUUACCUAUAGACUAUUGAAACAAAAGAAAGUACAUAUGGAGGAGGACACAAACUAAAACCUCCAAACAAAAUAACAACACAACCAACAAAUCCAAAAAAAUAGCAAAAACAUUAUGAGAACAAAUAAAAAGUUAAAGAUAAUUAAUUAAUGCAAAUGCCUCAAGACUGCCCGCGAUACCUGUGACCAGUAACUAAUGUGAAAUCGUUUCUCGAACCAGAGGAAUGUGGACCAACAACAUUAAAGUUGUGGUCAAGAUCACACCCUCCAAAAUGCUCAGGCUGAGACUUAAAAUAAUCAUCAGCCAGAAGAUUCUCAUCAGAACUAAGCUCCUCAUCCGACUAAAAAUGAAUAUCUGUAGAAUGGGAAUUAAAACCCAUAGUCAUGGAUCGAAUAUCCUCCACUACAGCUCAGAAAAAAGUAGUACCAGUGGAAACCUUCUGAAUAGCUAGAUCAUCCUGAAUAGAAGAAGAAGUCUUAGCUAUCUCAGCCCAUCCAACAUUAUCUCUCAAAGCAGUAGCUGUAAGAGAUUAGGCUGAGGAGAUGGUCAAUGGCAGAAGGUGGUCCUCAUCGAUGGUAAUAGGUGUGGCGGCGGCGAUGGGUGAUAUUUGAGAUUGCGAACACGUUUUUGGCCUUCAGUUUGGGUGUGAGUCCGAUUGUGAUGGUUGUUGCCGGCCAAAGGAGAAGUCACCGGUGUGUGGGGUGGUUCCGGUAGUGGCAAAUCACCACCACCAGUGGCGGCUGGUCAAUGUUCGGUCAAAUAGUAGGCAGUUAACAGAACUUUUCAAACAUUGCAUUGGUUGAUAUUAAUUUAUUUAUAUAUAAUUAAUUUAACAAUAACUUUUUGAUAGUACAACUUAUAAUUAUAAACAUUAAAAGAAUAUAUUUUAAUGCAGUCAAUUGCAAGUAAAUCAUUAUAUUUGUUUAUUGAUUAUAUCCUACAAAUUGGUUUGAGUUAAUUAAAAUUAUAAAUAGGUGCUCGGCCAAGAUUCCUUGAUAAUAAUCAGGGAAUAAUGCAUGUCUGAUCAAUGGAUGAACACAGAUUUGACAAUAGUACCAUAAUAGAUAAGUGAAUUAACUCUAAAAUAAUAAUAAUAAUAAUAAAAGAGAAGCAAGUACGCAUGAAACAAAUUAAGCAAUUAAUCUCUCAUGCGUUAUAUAUAUUGGUCAUCACCAUGCGGUGGUUGCAAGAUAUCAUCACCACGCGGCGGUUGCAUGAUACCUUGGAUUAAUAGUUUGAUCAUGAGGGAAGAAGAUCCUAUUUCUUUUGUUGGCCUUUUCUUCUGUCAUAUCUUUGCCCUCCUUCAUCCAUAAGUAUGUUAAUAGCCUUUACAACAUCUUCCUUCUUUACCAAUACCCCAAUCUCUUCUUCCUUCCCAAAAUCUAAAGGAACUUCCACACCAAUCCUCACCUCAAUAUUUAGAACUUGCACAAUCAACUUUUCGUUCCAAAAUUAGUCCCCAAAAAGUGGCCAUGUGAUCAUGGGUACGCCGGCUGAUAUUACUUCAAGAGAUGAGUUCCAACCAUAAUGUGUUAAAAACCCUCCAAUUGAAGUGUGUGACAAUAUCAGGGCAACAGAACAAUCAGCGGAUGGAAUUGUGGUUAAUACUUUUGAAGAAUUGGAAGCAGAAUAUGUCAAAGAAUAUAGAAGGGCCAAAGGUGAUAAAGUUUGGUGUAUUGGCCCGAUUUCGACUUGCAAUAAGUUGAACACAGAUAAAGUUGAGAGAUGCAGAGGUGAAAAUGGAUCGACGGUAAAUGAUUAUGAACAGUACUUGAAAUGGCUUGACUCAUGGGAACCUGGGUCUGUGAUUUGUUCUUGUCUUGGAAGUAUAUGUGACCUUGCUACUUGGCAACUUUUAGAACUUGGGUUAGGCUUAGAAGCAUCAAGUCAGCCAUUCAUUUGGGUAAUAAGAGGAGGUGAAAGAUCACAAGGUUUAAAGAAGUGGAUCCAAGAAGAAGGAUUUGAGGAAAGGACAAAAGGGAGAUGAUUUAUAAUUCGGGGAUGGGCACCUCAAGUGUUGCUAUUGUCUCAUCGAGCAAUUGGAGGGUUCUUGACAAAUUGCGGUUGAAAUUCAACACUAGAAGGAGUGAGUGCGGGAGUGCCGUUAGUAACAUGCCCUUUGUUUGCCGAGCAAUUUUAUAAUGAGAAGUUAGCUGUGCAAGUAUUAGGGAUUGGAGUGAGUGUUGGAAUUGAGGCUGCAGUGACAUGGGGUUUGGAAGACAAGUCUGGUUUAGUGAUUAAGAGGGAGAAAGUGAAAGAAGCUAUUGAAAAACUUAUGGAUAGAGGCAAACAAGGAGAGAAGAGGAGAAAUAGAGCAAGGCAGCUUGGGGAAAUAACAAAUCGUGCUAUUGGAGUAGGUGGAUCUUCUCAUCGCAACAUAGAAAUGCUCAUUGAAUUUGUCAUCCAAAAAACCAGAGGGCAGUAAUACAUUUGAUUAAUUAAUGAACAAUCAGUUUCAUUGAUACUACUGUUGAGUUGAUUUUAUUACUACUUAGUAAAAAAAAAAUCCUUAUUGUUAAGGGUGACGUUAUUUGUUGAUUUUAGUCUUCCAUGUCUUUAGGAGUCGUUAAACAUAGGUUCUUGUUUUGUUGCUUGGUUCGUUAUGUAAGGCUAUUUAAUAGCCAAAGUUAUUCUCAUUUUAUAACAGUGAAAAUUUUUUCAGCAUUUAGAAUUCUUCCAUACUCUGUAGCUUUUAACAUUUGGUAUCAGAGCCCCAGUGGGCCUGAGAAUAGAAAGCUGCAGCUUUCGAGUGACUUGUAUUCAAGAAAAACCAGAGAAGAAAGAGAUGGCAAGUGAAGGGAGUUUUGUUCAGCCUACGAUCUGCUGUUCCGUACAUCCGCCUUGGCCGUACAGCAGGCAUCAUCAAGUCUUAAUGACCAAUCUUUUCUGUCCGGCCUCACCGUUUUUUCUAAUAUGUGCUUUAUUUCUCGAUUGGAGAUGUCAACUUGGCCACUGGUUUGCGGAUGAUAUGGGGUUGCCACUUUGUGAGUGAUUGAAUACUUCAUCAAAAGAGCCUUGAAUGCUUUAUUACAAAAGUGGGCACCACCAUCACUGAUUAUUGCUCGAGGGAAUCCAAAGCGCGAAACAAUGUUGUUUUUCAAAAAUCCUAUCACCACCUUGUGAUCAUUGGUUCUACAUGGAAUUGCUUCUACCCAUUUCGAUACAUAGUCAACAGCAACCAAUAUAUAUUGAUGGCCAAAAGAAGGGGGAAAGGGUCCGAGAGAUUUCGAGACCCUUGAAAUGAAACCAGGUGAAAUUGUUAUUGAUUAUUUCUCAAGAGUCAUGUCAGUAGCUAAUAAGAUGAGAAAUUAUGGAGAGGAUAUGCAAGAUGUUAAAGUGGUAGAGAAGAUUCUUCGAUCAUUGACUGAGAAGUUCAAUUAUAUUGUUUGUUCAAUUGAGGAGUCAAAGAACAUUGAUCAGCUUUCAAUUGAUGAGCUAGAAAGUUCAUUAAUUGUUCAUGAGCAAAAAUUUCAUAGGAAUAGUGGAGAGGAACAUGUGCUGAAGAUAACACAUGAGAAUAGUUCAGAAGCAAGAGGUCGUGGUAGAGGAGGUUUUCGAGGAAGAGGAAGAGGACGGGGCAGACAACAAUUUGACAAAUCUACAGUGGAGUGUUAUAAUUGUCACAAACUUGGACAUUUUCAAUGGGAGUGUCCAAGUAAUGAGACAGGAGCAAAUUUUGCAGAAACUCAAGAAGAGAUGUUAUUGAUGGCAUGUGUGGAUGUGAACAAGGACAACAAGGAAGAUAUGUGGUAUCUUGACUCCGGUUGCAGCAAUCAUAUGUGUGGAAAAAAAAGAAUAUUUUUAAGAUCUGAAUGAAAUUUCAGAGAUUCUUUGAAGUUGGGCAACAACUCAAGCAUGGCUGUAAUGGGAAAGUGUAACAUCAGGUUGCAAGUGAAUGGAACAACACAAAAUAUUACCAGAGUUUUCUAUAUACCUGAAUUGAAGAGCAACAUGUUGAGCAUUGGGCAAUUACAGGAAAAGGGGUUUACUGUUCUGUUCCAAUAUGGAAGGUGCAAGGUGUUUCAUCAUGAGAGAGGUUUGAUCGUGGAUACGAAGAUGUCUGCAAAUCGAAUAUCCAUAUUGCAAGCUAUAUCUCAACCUAUAACAUCUAUUUGUUUCAAUACAAUUACUGAGGAUCUGGUGCAGCUCUGGCACUGCAGAUAUCGACAUUUGAGUUUUACGGGUUUAAAAACUCUUCAACAAAAGGCAAUGGUGAAUGGUUUACCACAACUUAAAACUCCUUCAAGGCUAUGCAAGGAUUGUUUGGUGGAGAAGCAGCACAGGGAUUCAUUUCCAAAAAGAAGCAACUGGAGAGCUUCUCAAAUCCUUCAGUUGUUACACGCUGAUAUUUGCGGACCGAUCAAACCAACCUCCAACAGCAAGAAACGGUAUUUACUUACCUUUAAUGUUGAUUUCAGUAGAAAAACAUGGGUUUUCUUUUUGACAGAAAAAUCUGAAGCCUUUGAUGUUUUCAAAAGAUUUAAGAUCCGAGUGGAAAAAGAGACAAACACGCCACUUCAAGCGCUGCAAACUAAUCGAGGAGGAGAGUUUACAUCACAAGAAUUCAAUAAUUUUUGUGAUGCAAAUGGUAUACAGAGAAAAUUGACAGUAGCAUACACACCACAACAAAACGGAGUCGCAGAACGAAAGAACAGAACCAUUAUGAAUAUGGUACGAAGCAUGAUUUCAGAAAAGAGAGUCCCCAAAACCUUCUGGCCUGAAGUAGUCAACUGGACGGUGCAUGUUCUAAAUCGAAGUCCAACCUUUGCCGUGAGAAAUAUGACUCUGGAAGAAGCAUGGAGUGGAAUCAAACCUUCGGUAGAGUAUUUCAAAGUCUUUGGCUGCAUCUCUCAUGUUCAUGUGCCUGAUAGCAAACGAACAAAACUAGAUGAUAAAAGUUAGAUUUGUGUUCUAUUGGGAGUAAGCGAGGAGUCGAAGGCUUACCGGCUUUAUGAUCCUAUUUCACAAAGGAUUAUUAUAAGUCGAGAUGUUGUGUUCGAGGAAGACAAAAGCUGAGAUUGGGAUAAGAAGUAUGAGGAAGCAAUUGCAUGUGAUUUGGAAUGGGGUGAUCGUGAGGAAAAAAUGGUGGAGAUCGAUAGAAAUGUAGGGAAGAGUGAAUCUGAUUCUGAUGCUAGUGUUGAAGAAAGGGAGAAUUUUUCCUCUGAUUCUCCAAUCGAGGAGAGCUCACCUAGCUCGAAUGCAGGGAGGAUUAGGAGACCACCAGCUUGGAUACAAGACUAUGAGACAGAAGAGGGACUAUCUGAAGAAGAAGUUCAGUUGGCCAUGUUUGCAGCUGCUGAUCCUAUUCGCUUCGACGAUGCCGUAAAAAGCGAGAAAUGGAGGAAAGCCAUGGAUGUGGAAAUAGAAGUAAUAAAAUGGAAUGAUACAUGGGAACUAACAGAAUUACCUGAAGGUGAAAAGAAAAUUGGAGUGAAAUGGGUUUACAAAACCAAGUUUAAUGAGAAUGGUGAAGUUGAUAAAUACAAGGCAAGGCUUGUAGUGAAGGGGUACUCUCAGCAACAUGGGGUAGAUUAUAUAGAAGUAUUCGCACCUGUAGCACGUAUGGAAACAAUUCGUUUGGUAGUAGCUCUUGCAGCUCAAAAAGGAUGGGCUAUCUAUCAGCUAAAUGUUAAGUCGGCAUCUCUAUAUGGUGAGCUGAAUGAAGAGGUUUUUGUGGAACAGCCGCUUGGUUAUGUGAAAAAGGGUUAUGAACACAAGGUUUAUAAAUUAAAAAGGCACUCUAUGGCCUUAAGCAAGCACCGCGUGCUUGAUACAGCCGCAUAGAAGCUUAUUUUUUGAAAGAGGGUUUUGAGAAAUGUGACUAUGAACAUACUCUAUUCAUCAAGACAGGGAAAAAGGGAAACUUUUGAUUCUGAGUUUGUAUGUAGAUGAUCUCAUCUUUACUGGCAAUGAUGAAUUGAUGGUCUCUGAAUUUAAAAGUUCCAUGAAACAUGAGUUCGAUAUGACUGAUCUUGGCAAAAUGAGGUAUUUUCUUGGUCUUGAAAUCUUGCAGAAUUCAAGAGGUGUGUUUAUCUGUCAGAAAAAAUAUGCAUUAAAGGUGCUGCAAAGGUUUGGGAUGGAUGGAAGCAACUCAGUUCAAAAUCCAAUUGUCCUAGGUUGUAAACUCGUCAAGGAUGAAAGUGGUGUUAAGGUAGACAACAUUUAUUUCAAUCAAAUUGUGGGUAGUCUCAUGUAUCUUACAGCUACUCGACCGGAUGUGAUGUUUGUAGUGGGUCUUAUCAGUAGGUACAUGGAGAAUCCUACUGAGCUUCAUCUCCAAGUAGCUAAAAGGGUGUUGAGAUAUUUGAAGGAGACACUUGAUUUCGGAAUUUUCUAUAAGAAUGGAGGAAAUAAUGAACUCAUUUCUUACACUGAUAAUGAUUAUGCUGGGGAUUUAGAAGAUAGAAAAAGCACUCCAGGUUACGUUUUUUUGUUGAGCUCAGGAGCAGUAUCUUGGCUAUAAAAAAAGCAACCAGUAGUGAGUCUCUCCACUACUGAAGCUGAAUUCAUUGUUGCGGCUUCUUGUGCAUGUCAAACAGUUUGGUUGAAAAGGGUGUUGGAUAAUUUGGGUCUGAAGCAAGGUAAGACAACUAUUAUUCAGUGUGAUAGUAGUUCUGCAAUCAAACUUUCGAAGAACCCAGUAAUGCAUGGUCGAAGUAAGCACAUAAAUGUGCGUUUUCAUUUUCUUCUAGAGCUUACAAAGGCUGGUACUGUAGAAUGAGUCUAUUGUAGCACACAAGAACAAUUAGUCGAUGUAAUGACUAAGCCACUCAAGUUGGAUGUCUUCUUAAAGCUGCGUGCAUUAUUAGGAGUCUGCUCUAAAACUGAUGUAAACUGAUGCAUUAGCAUUCAGUUUAAGGGAGGAAAUGUUGAGUUGAUUUUGUUACUACUUAGUCAAAAUAAAAUCCCUAUUGUUAAGGGUGACGUUAUUUGUUGAUUUUGUUACUAUUUAGUCUUCCAUGUUUUUAGAAGUCGUUAAACAUGGGUUCUUGUUUUGUUACUUGGUUCGUUAUGUAAGACUAUUUAAUAGCCAAAGUUAUUCUCAUUUUAUAACAGUGAAAAUUCUUUUCAGCAUUUAGAAUUCUUCCAUACUCUGUAGCUUUUAACAACUACAAGGCGGUUUGAUCGAUCUACUUAAUUUGUCAGCUUAUGAGUGAUGUCCUGUUAAUUUGACGAUAAUUAAAAAAUCUGUGGGUAUUUGUUUAUAUAUUUAGUUCUUCCAUCAAUAAAUGGAAUAUAUUCCAAGAAGAGAUGGCCAUAUUGGGCAAAAUUUAUUUACUUAUUUAUUUUAUUCAGCAAACUUUGAAGAGAUGACAAGAUAAUAUUGCUUUAGAAGUUAACGGUGAUUAUUGGCUAAUGUUUCAAGCCCACCGGCUGGCCCGCUAGUGUUUUUCGAGACAGACUAUUUGUUGAAUUAAUCUGUUAAAAUGGAAUAUAUUAUAAGAAGACUUGAACUUCUAAGAUUUCAUAUAUUAAAGUGAGACUAUCAAAUGAUCAAAUCACACUUAUUUUUCAAUAAUCUUUGGUUAAAUCUAUUAUAAUAUUAUAAAUAAAUUACUUGGAAUAUUAAAAUAAUUUUUUUAUAUUUCAUUAUUUACAGUUCUAUAAUCUAAACUAAAUUCAAAUAAUUGCACCAAAAAUUUAGGUUGUAUUUGGUAUUGUUUUUCAAUUGGUGUUUUCUAAACUUGUUUUGCAGAAGAAAGAGGAUGUUUUUGAUGGGUUGUUUCGAUAUUUGAAGAUAUAUUUGGUAGCUUAUUUCUAAAUUAUAAUUUAUGAAAAAAAUGAAAAUACAUUUAGUAUUUUGGUCCAAAACAUUUCUUUUUGAAUAAUGUGUAGGUAAUUUUUUUAAAUAUGUAUAUUUAUUUAUUUAAAAUUUUAGAAAUUAUCAUGUUUUAAAUUGAUAAUGAUAAAUGUAAUUAUUUUUCUAAUUGUCUAAUCUUUAAUGAACUAAAAAUGUUCAUUUAUUUUAUCAUAAUUUAUACAAUUUAAAUUUUAUUUGACUAUUUUAAAUUUUAUUUUUAAAAAAUGAGAUAAAAAAUAAUUUAAGAAUAUCUAUAAAAUUGCAAAAUGUUGGAGCAAAAAUAAAUCUUAUCUGACAAGAAACCGUAAAUUUAUGAAUAAAUAGUAAAAUAUUGUGUUGAUAUUAUUAAAAAAAAAGGAAGAAAUAGAGGGUUACAAGCUUAAUAAAUAUUGGCAAUGGUUCCAAGCUACAAAAGUGAGGCAAGUAGUGUGUGUGUUUGUAUAGUAGAGAAUGCCAAUUUCUGUUCUGCACUCUCUUUUGUGAAGUUGAGAAACAAGAACAACUUUUUUUCAGUUGAUACAUUUACUAUUAAAAAAUAGACCUAAAAAAAAAUUUUUAUAGUUUUCAUUCUAGGAAAAUGAAAAACUACAAAACAAAAACUAUACUAAAUGCACCUUAUAUUUUCCUAAUAACUCUUUUUGAUUUUUCAAAUUUAAUAUUUUAAGGCAUAAAAGACACUAGUUAUUUUAGCUCAUUUUUUGUCAAGCCUCAGAUGAACUAAAAUAUUUAAGGAAGUAGCUUUCAGGCUAUCUUGAGGGUGAACUUUGAUAACUGGUGGGAAAGUUCAGCUUUGAAGAAUAGAGCCACCAAAGAGGGUGCUUGAUUUAUGAGGGACCUUGCAAACGAUGAACCUUGAGUUCAAGGAUGGCAAAAUUAUUCAUCAACCCACAAAGCAGUCCAAAUUUGUCUAUAAAACCUUACCUACUGUGAAUAAUUUUGUGGGUUGUGAGUGGGUAAACUGAAAUCCGCUGCAGGAUGCGAGUGGAUUUGAUAUUAAGAAAAAAUCUACUGGAUGCUCACGCCUACAUUCUUUAUUUUAAUUAUUUAUAUUUUUAAUUUUAAUCAUAAAACUUACAUUAAAAAAUUCAAUCAUAAAUGUAUGUGAAUUAAAGUUCUUAAUUUCUAAACCUAACUUAUCUCAGCGGAGCAUAUACACACACAUAAAAUAAGCUUUUAAUAACUAGAAGUUUUAUAAUUUUUAAAUUUAAUAUUACUGAUAUCUUAUUUUAAUUGAUAGAUUUUGUUUGUUUUACUUUAGUCACUUGAACCUAAUGAUUUCUUACUAGAGUUGGAUUUUUAUUUGUUUAAUUAAUUGUUAACAAUAAUUUUACAUAAUUUACUUGUUAAUAUUGUCGAUAACACUUGUAUUUUGAUUAAAAGAUAAAGUAAGGUAUUGAUACUAAUGAUGAUAAUUUACUAAUAGCAGAAAUAUUUUGUGUCAAAUUAAUAUAUUUUGUGUAUCUCUAUUUAUGUUGAAAAUUUAAUUUCUAUUUUACAAGGCUAUUAGUGGGCUUGCUGGUCGUGGUCAGUGAUGGUAUUUCGAUAAUCAAGUCAAUAUGGUGAAGAAAGAACCCCAUAUCAAGGAAAAAGAUGAAUGUGAGUUGGAUCCGACCUUUUGCAUCAAGGCAUCUUUAAUCUUUUGGAUACGUGGCGCAACCUAUUUGGUCACUUUCUUCCUUAGAUAGGGGUACUUAAAUUGUAAUCAAAUUAUCUCAAGCUUCUAUUUGUCCAACCAUAUUUUUGUCUCCAACAUGAAUAAUCCUUCUAAACUUCUUUAUAAAAUUAUAAAAAUAAAUAUCCUUCUGACCUUGAAAAUUAACAAUCUAAAUUUCAAAAAAUUGUAUUUAAUAGUACACCCAACAAUUGAAAAAUAAUAUGACAUUAAGUAAUGAUAAUAUAAAUUUAAAUCAAUAUGUGGCAAAUUUUAUUGGAUUUAUUAGAAAAGAAGAAAAAAGAAGAAAGAAGAAAAAUAAUAUGACGUUAAGUGAAUUGGUAGUAGUGGGGAAAGGAGAAAAAAGAAGCAGAUUUAUUAAAGACAAAUACCUAAAUUGAUGCAUGACUUUGACUCCAAAUUAGCAAUCAACAAUGUUAACAAGUAAAUUAUGUAAAAUUAUCGUUAACAAUUAAUUAAACAAAUAAAAAUUCAACUUUAGUAAGAAAUCAUUAGGUUCAAGUGACUAAAGUAAAACAAACAAAAUCUAUCAAUUAAAAUAAGAUAUCAGUAAUAUUAAAUUUAAAAAUUAUAAAACUUCUAGUUAUUAAAAGCUUAUUUUAUGUGUGUGUAUAUGCUCCGCUGAGAUAAGUUAGGUUUAGAAAUUAAGAACUUUAGCUGACAUUCAUUUAUGAUUAAAUUUUUUAAUGUAAGUUUUAUGAUUAAAAUUAAAAAUAUAAAUAAUUAAAAUAAAGAAUGUAGGCGUGAGUAUCCAGUAGAUUUUUUCUCAAUACCAAAUCAACUCGCAUCCUGCAGCGGAUUUCAAUUUAAAAUACUAAACCCACUCACAACCCAGAAAAUUAUUCACAGCAGGUAAGGUUUUAUAGACGAAUUUGGACUGCUUUGUGGGAUGAUGAAUAAUUUUGCCAUCCUUGAACUCAAGGUUCAUCGUUUGCAAGGUCCCUCAUAAAUCAAGCACCCUCUUUGGUGGCUCUAUUCUUCAAAGCUGAACUUUCCCGCCAGUUAUCAAAGUUCACCCUCAAGAUAGCCUGAAAGCUACUUCCUUAAAUAUUUUAGUUCAUCUGAGGCUUGACAAAAAAUGAGCUAAAAUAACUAGUGUCUUUUAUAACUUAAAAUAUUAAAUUUGAAAAAUCAAAAAGAGUUAUUAGGAAAAUAUAAGGUGCAUUUAGUAUAUUUUUUGUUUUGUAGUUUUUCAUUUUCCUAGAAUGAAAACUAUAAAAUUUAUUUUUUAGGUCUAUUUUUUAAUAGUAAAUGUAUCAACUGAAAAAAAGUUGUUCUUGUUUCUCAACUUCACAAAAGAGAGUGCAGAACAGAAAUUGGCAUUCUGCUGUACGGCCAAGGCGGAUGUACGGUACAGCAGAUGACUUUGACUCCAAAUUAGCGAUAUUAACAUCCAUUAUAAUGACAUGGCGAAUUUAACAUUGACUGACAUAGAACGGCGUUCAUUUUUACAUCUCUCCUUCGUCAUUCCUAUCUAAGAAACUAAGAAAUAAUUUUCUGACACGACAUAUGCAUAGAACAUGCAAUGACCUAAACCACUUGACUGAAAUCGAGCUUGCCAUCACCUAAGACUGAUUGAUACUCGAAGACUUCUAAUUCCAGUCUUGAGUCUUUAUCCGCCCUUGAACGUCUGUUGAUAAUUAUUUAUGACGACUUAUAGUGAAUCCGACACUAUAAAAAAUAAAAAUAUGUUUAAUUGAUCUAAAUUAAAAAAUCAUGCCAAUAUUAGUAAUUCCAAAUUUCAUUAAUAUUUCUGGUGUUUGUGUCGGAUUAACACUUAAUUUUAAUGGAGUAAAACUCAAAUUCUUGACCCUGAGAAUAAUUAAGUUGAGGAGGUGUCAUCACUCAACCAACGAGUGCGUAGUUUACAAAGAAGAGUGACAGUGAUAAUAUUGCUAAUUUGGAGUUAAUAUCAACAUGCCAUGGGGAGGAAAAUUUUAGAGUUGUAGUGAAAAGUCAUCAAGACAAUGACAUACCCUCGAGUAUGCAGAAUACUCAACGGGCCGUGAAGGGAAAUACAAGUGGGGAAAGGAGGAAAAAAAAGAAAAAAGAAGCAAAUUAAUUCAUUGACCCAUUAGAUGAAAAAUUAUAGAAAAUGAAAGGAAAUAUAAACACAGGUCAAGGUCCAUAGAUCCUAUUGAAUAAUUUUUUUUUUUCUGGAUAGAUUGUUAAUAACACAUUAAAGAUGGUAACUUAUGAUACAAUUAAUACAUCAUGCCAUUCAUGCAUUUUUCAGUAACGAUAGACUCACUAGUCUGGAGUUUCCGUGAGCCUCUGUCACUCCAUAGACACAGAGAUGGUAACUUAUGAUACAAUUAAUACAUGAAUCUGACUCCAAAUUAGCGAUUUUGAAUUGACCUAAAUUGCUCUCACCAUUAUUAUCUGUGUUAUAUUUUAAAAAAUUGUUUUAAAUUGCUCUCACCAUUAUUGAAUUGACUUAGAGCAACAGUGUCCAAAAAUACAUCUCUCUUUCGUCAUUCUUAUCUUAAAAACUAAGAAAUAAUUUUCUGACACGGCAUAUGUACAGAGCGUGCAAAGGCUUCUAAUUACUAGUCUUGAGUCUCUGAAAUUGAUCGUCUGUUGACUAUAAUUUAAAUGAAAGGUUUGUAAUUGAUCUAAAUUGAAAAUCAUGUCAAUUUUAAUAAAUCCAAAUUCAUUAAUUUGUCUUGUGUUUGUGUCUGAUUAAUUAGUUAAUGGUGCCCAAAAUUGUCACUUCUACUAUUGUGACUUUGUUUCCAUUAAAAUUUAUUUAAUUAUCAUUUUUUUCACUAGUUUCAUUUUUAUUUAAUAAACUUCGGUUAAGGAAUGGAAUUCACCAUUUUUCGCCAGUUGUUUGUAUUUUGAGUUGAUAUCAUAUCCAAAUAAUAUUUAUGAUUUUGUUUUUUAAAUUUCAAGUGGUCUGGACCACUUCGGAAUUAUGUUUUUCAUUUUUUCAAACCAAAAAAAAAAGAUUGAUUUAUUACACAUACGGUAAACACCAGUGCAAGAGUUGUCUAAUGGUUUUUGAUAAGGACUUGGUGACAAAAAAAUUAUCAUCAUUAAGUUAUUUAUUAUAACUAAUAAUAUUUGCUUGUUCAAUACACAGGAGGGUGAUUGAGAAAUUUGGGAUGGCCAAAAACAAUGAGGAGAACUAAUUACAUCUCUCCUUUAUUUACAUCUCUCCUUCGUCAUUCCUAUCUAAGAAACCAAAAAGAAAUAAUUUUCUGACACGACAUAUGCAGAGAACUAAUUAGCGCCCAUCUCAGAAACCAUCAGCUAAAGCUUAUUACCAAUUGGCGCAAUAUUAUUCUUGACCUUGAGAAUAAUUAAAUUGAGGAGGUGUCAUCACUCAACCAACGAGUGCGUGGUUUACAAAGAAAAUUCAAAUGCCGUGGGGAGGAAAAUUUUAGAGUUGUAGUAAGAAGUCAUCAAGACAAUGACAUUCCCUAAAGUACGCAGAAUACUCAACUUGCCGUGAAGGGAAAUUCAAGUGCGGAAAGGAGAAAAAAAUAAGAAGAAAAUUAAUUCAUUGACCCAUUAGAUGACAAAUUAUAGAAAAUGAAAGGAAAUAUAAGCACAGGUCAACUUCGAUAGAUCCUAUUAAAGACUUUUUUUAUUUUUUUGGGUGGGACCUUGCCUCUUCAAAAGUUAAUUUUGUUAGCCAAUGGCUUAAUCAUCAGUCCCAAAUUGUCACUUCUACUAUUGUGACCUUGUUUCCAUUAAAAUUAAUUUAAUUAUCAUCUUUUUUCACUAGUUUUUUUUUUAAUUUAAUAAACCACGGUUAAGGAAUGGAAUUCACCAUUUUUCCCCAGUUGUUUGAAUUUUGAGUUGAUAUCAUAUCCAAAUAAUAUUUAUCAUUUUUUUUUCAAGUGGUCUGGACCACUUUGGAAUUAUGUUUUUCAUUUUUACAAACAAAAAUAAAAAUGAAUGUAUUACGCAUUUACUCAUUUUCAUUUUUUCCCUGUGCUAAUUAAUUAAUCCUCACGUUUGCUGUAAACUUAUUUUCGGUGGUGACGGAAUGGUAAAAAGUUUACGACAUCACAUCAAAUAAUAUAAAAAAAUAUUACUAAGACUAACUUUUGUUGACUUAAAAAAAUAAAAAAAGAGUCCAAUGACUAUAAUGUUUGAAUUGCUGCAAUUUGCCUAUAAAAGCAAAACAAGAUCCUCAAAUUUCUUCACAUCUACAAAGUUAAACAAAUUUUAUUUUUGAGAAAACUAUGGGUUUAUCCUCCAUAUGUUUAUUCACAAUAUUCAUACGGUUAGUUUUUCCCUUCUUUUUCUUUAAUUUUACAAUUGCUAACUUCACUGCUUCUUCUAUGCCGCCACUCUGCCAUGACGAUGAGCGCUCUGCUUUGUUGCAAUUCAAAGAAAGCCGCAUCAGUGGUGAUUUUUAUGCUUGGAAAUUUGAUUGUCGUCCUACAAUGGCAUCAUGGAAGCCAGAAGAAGGUAGCGUUGAUUGCUGCUCUUGGGACGGAGUUCAUUGCAAUAAGAACACUGGUCAUGUCAUCAAGCUUGACCUCUCCCAUAGCUGCCUUUUUGGUUCUAUCAACUCUAGCAGCAGCCUUUUCAAGCUUGUCCAUCUUGAGUGGCUUAAUCUUGCUUUGAAUGACUUCAAUUCCUCCGAAAUCCCACCAGAAAUCAUCAACCUUUCCAGGUUAUCAUACUUGAACCUCUCUGGAACUUCUUUAUCUGGCCAAAUACCAUCAGAAAUUCUAAAGCUCUCCAAUUUGAUGUCCCUUGAUUUAUCACUAAAUGAUGUUCCUGGUGGUAGACUUGAACUCCAGAAGCUUAGUUUCAUAAAUUUAGUCGAGAAGUUAAGCAAUCUAAAAACACUUGACCUUAGUGAUGUUUCUAUUCAGUCAACGAUACCUCAUAACAUUGCAAACCUAUCUUCUUCAACGUUUGUUUCUCUUCGAAACUGUGAAUUGCAAGGUAAUUAAAUUUUAUAUAUUUUCUCCUUAAUUAAUAUACAUGCAUGUUAUUGUUAAAUAUAUAUAUUUUACUAAAAAAUUGCCAAUUGCAAUGUUAAAUUCAUUAGUAAAAACUAUUAUUAUUUUUAAUUUUCUACUUAAGCAAUGUGCUCUUUUUUCUUUUCUCUUUUUUAACAAAUUUCAGGAAGAAUUCCAUCCUCACUUGGUAAUCUAUCCAAGCUCCUUCAUUUAGACCUUUCACUAAAUGAAUUACAGGGUGAGCUGCCUGUUUCUGUUGGUAAUCUUCAUUCAUUGGAAGAACUUGAUCUCUCUGCAAAUUUCCAUUGGAAAUCUUAGAUCAUUGGAAGCAAUAAAUGUCGCUAAGUGUAAUUUUUCAGGUCAAAUUACAUCUUCACUUAGGAAUCUUUCCCAACUUACCGCCCUUGACCUUGCUCAAAAUUCUUAUAGAGGAAUGAUAGAGUUAGAUGUUUUACUUACUAGCUGGAAAAAUUUGGAAUUUUUAGGUCUCUCAUUAAAUAGGUUGUCAGUGCUCACCAAAGCCACUUCUGAUACCACUUCACAGAAACUUAAGUAUAUAGGACUGCGUUCAUGCAAUCUUACUAAAUUUCCUAAUUUCUUGCAAAACCAACAUCAUUUGCGGUUCAUGGAUCUUUCUGACAAUAGAAUUCAGGGAAAAGUGCCUAAAUGGUUGUUAGACCCCAAUAUGCAGAAUCUCAAUGGCUUCAACUUUUCGCAUAACUUGUUAACCGGGUUUGAUCAGCAUCCUGUUGUUCUUCCCGGGAAUAAAGGUGAUUUGCUGACUUUUGAUCUUAGCUCUAAUAAUUUACAAGGACCACUCCCAGUUCCACCCCCCGGAACCAUUACCUAUCUAGCUUCAAACAAUAGCUUAACAGGGGAAAUUCCAUCGUGGAUAUGCAAUUUGAAUAUUCUUGAAAGCCUUGUUUUGUCUCACAAUAACUUAAGUGGCUUGCUUCCUCAGUGUUUAGGCAAUUUCAGCGAUGAACUUUUAGUGCUCGACUUGCAGGGGAACAACUUGUCUGGGACCAUCCCAAAUACUUUCAUUAAAGAAAGUAGAUUAAGCGUGAUUGAUUUAAGCCAUAAUCUGUUCCAGGGAAGAAUUCCAAGAUCAUUGAUCAACUGUUCAAAGUUGGAAUUUCUUGAUCUUGGGAACAACCAGAUUAGUGACACUUUUCCCUCUUGGUUAGGAACUCUUCCAAACUUGAAUGUUCUCAUCCUACGAUCCAACAUAUUUUACGGCAUUAUAGAAGAACCCAGAACUGAUUGUGGAUUUUCUAAACUCCGCAUUAUUGACCUAUCUAACAACAGAUUUACUGGAACGCUUCCAUCAAAGAGCUUCCUGUGUUGGAAUGCCAUGAAAAUUGUCAAUACAAGUGAGCUAAGAUAUCUGCAAGAUGUGCUUUCUCAGUAUGGACGAACGUCCAAUGAUAUACUUAGCACUUACGACUACUCAAUGACAAUGAACAGCAAAGGGAGAAUGAUGACAUAUAACAAGAUUCCGGAUAUCCUCGCGGGCAUUAUUCUCUCAAACAAUAGAUUUGAUGGGGCGAUUCCAGCAUCGAUUGCGAAUUUAAAGGGACUUCAAGUUCUAAACCUCCAGAACAAUAAUCUCCAAGGCCAUAUUCCGUCAUGUUUGGGCAAUCUAACAAAUUUGGAAUCAUUGGAUCUGUCAAAUAACAAGUUUUCAGGACGGAUUCCCCAACAACUGGUUGAGCUCACAUUUCUCGAAUUUUUCAAUGUCUCGAAAAAUUACCUUGCAGGGCCUAUACCACAAGGAAAUCAAUUUGCUACAUUUGACAACACUUCUUUCGACGGCAACUCAGGAUUGUGUGGAAGGCCUUUGUCCAAAGGAUGUGAGAGUGGUGAAGCUCCAACAAAUGAAGAUCAUACUGAAGGCUCGGAGGAGUCCCUAUUUUCAGGCGCAUCUGAUUGGAAAAUCAUUCUGACUGGCUAUGUGGGCGGACUUGUGGCAGGAUUGGUUCUUGGGUUCAACUUCAGCACAGGAAUUAUCAGAUGGAUUCUGGAGAAGUUGGGAAUGCAGCAAAAGGCAACAAGGGGGAGGAGGAGACGUAGAAACUGAAUGCAAUUAUAAUGUUGCUGUGAUUUUUGUUUCUAAUUCAGUCAUUGUAAUGUUGGUGUUUUUUUUUUUAAAUGGAUCCUUACAUUUCACCGUAAAAAAUAAAAAUAUUAACUGGUUUAUUAUAUAUUAAAAAAUGGUUUCUGGUUUUGUCACUUUUCAAAUUUAAAUCACUACUUGGUAUGAAUAAAAAAAUAAUAGUGUUUGGUAAUUAACAUAUCAUUAAAUGAUAAUUGUGAGGGAUUAGGUUCUACUUCUACCAUUAAAAAAUAAUAAUAAUAAUUUUGACAACAAAAGUAAAGAUAACAAAGGUUUUUAUGCAGCAACUAUGGGUUCGAAUCAUCUUUACAUGCAUCCAAGCUAAUGGUGACACUUGAAUGAUAUGGCCAAUUUAACUUUGGUUGACUUAAAACGGUACUCCUGCAUCUGUCCUUCGUCAUUCCUAUGUCAAAACCUAAGAAAUAAUUUUACAGCUAUGUUUCUGCUUCUAAUGAUCAGCAUCUAUAUUAGUGUACUGGACAAACAAGAAGCAAAUUUAUUGACCAAUUAGAUAACAAAUUAAUUAUUGAAAAUAAAAGGAAAUGUAAUAAAGCCCCGAAGAAUAAGUUUGAUAUAUCUAAUUUUAAAUUAAAAAAAAAAAGAUAUUUACACAAUAAUUAUAACUGCCUUAUAAUUAUAACUUAGAAGAAAGCUAUGCUAUUUUCUAACUGCCUUAUAUAAAUUUAUCAGGAGAACAAACAUUACAUUUUACUAUUUGUCAUGAAUCUUACAAUGACUCCGAAAGAGCUUUUGUUUUUUUUUUUUUUUAAAAAGGGAAAAUAAAAAUUAACGCCUAAUGAAGAUCAUAAUAAAAUUCAAAAAGUAUAUUAAUGAGAUUAUAAGAAAUUCAAUUUACGAUACCGAACUAAAGACUGUCUGUGUGUUACAGGAACAAUUGAAAGUUUUACGUGUCGUUCUGAAAGCUUUAAUUCACUUUACUGAAAAGUCUGGGUGAGGCUUGCCCCGGAGCUGGAAGAUUUCAAGAGCUAAGAGAUAUUGCUGUGUUUGUUUGCCUAGAAAGUGAAGAGAAAAUACUAAAAGUUUUGAUAGAAAAAUAGUGAGCCAGAUUCAUUUCAUUAAGCUACAAAAUGAACUGAGAUUACAGGGGUUUAUGUCCAGGAGCUUCUAUAAGCAACAAAAUCAUGAGCGUGACCUCGGCCGCUUGUAACAACAUUUGAGAUUUCAGGGGUUUAUAUAUACAUGUCCAGAGGCUUCUUAAGCAAAGCAACAGCCUCCAUAACUGACUGCUGACGUGGUUGAUGACUCAGCAUAUUGCUCAACAUCAAGAACCUGUUGAUGAUAAUUGAUGCAGAAAUUUUUUUUCCUCACUUAAUUUUGAAAAUAUGCUCUUUCGACAUUUGAAUAUUGCUCAAGUAUUCAUUUCCUGUUUGGAUUUGGAUAGAUCGAGGUAAAAUAUCAGAGUUUCGCAUACAAUUGGCCUCCAAUUUCUGAUCGUAAAAUUUUUCACAUAAUGAAUGACAAUACUUUUUCGUUGAUUGGGAAGAGGAGCAUCCUUCUUGCUGCAUUUCUAUUGUCAGCAUUUGGAUUUGCUGUUACCAUGAGUACGCAUACUUGUACCGUGAGAAGAACUAGAGCUGCUACCAGAAUGCAUUUUCAGAAGCGGCAAGUUUGGUCAUGUGGACCAAGGAAUGUUUAGUUGCUCAUAUAUAUAUAUAGUCUUGUGGCCCAUGAAAUGCUGGAUUGUUAGAUUUUUUUUAAAAUAAAUGUUAAAUGUAUGCGGGCUAAAUUAUUUAGAAUAUUAUUAGUGGGUGUUGUUAGUUAGGGGUUUUGCUAAUCGAUGACAGCAGGUUGAUGAAGUUAUAUUUGUUGCACAUGAUGACAAGUUUUUGUUUUAAAUUCAUUUAUUUCAUUAAAUUUAUAAACUGAAUAUUAAUAAUGUUUUGUUGCUUAAUUUAUUGAUAAUGGAAACCGUUUAUCAUUGCUGCCCAUUAGUACAUUAUGUUGAAAUUUGUCUCAACUAUAUGUCAGCUACUAAACAAAAAAUGGAUAAAUCUUGGCUUAAAUAUGAUAUAUUGUUUGAUGAGUAUGAGGCUGAUGUGAAAAAAUUUAUUAAGACUGUAGUUGAAGGAUUAUGAUUCUUUCCAAAUAAGAGUUUAUUUCUUCAACAACAACAACAACAACAACAACAACAACAACAACAACAACAACAACAACAACAACAACAACAACAACAACAACAACAACAACAACAACAACAACAACAACAACAACAACAACAACAACAACAACAACAACAACAACAACAACAACAACAACAACAACAACAACAACAACAACAACAACAACAACAACAACAACAACAACAACAACAACAACAACAACAACAACAACAACAACAACAACAACAACAACAACAAUAAUGAUAAUAUUGUUAAUAAUGAUAAAUUAAUUAUUUUUAUUAAUUAUUAAUACUAUGGGUAUUUUGGUAAAUUGAUUCUCAUUCCCUUUUUUCAUUCGCAUUUAUUUUGCCAAGUAAACACAUUAAUGACAUUCCAACAUAUUCCUAUUACAGCCCAUUCCCAUUCCUUGAAGUAAACACACUAUAAAUGAGCGACUCUAACCAAAUAUUGAGUUGAACCAACCCCUAUUAAAGGCAUUUUCAACAACUAGAAUGAAAGCAAAUAAAUAAAUUUUUUAAUUAAAUUAUUAAUUAAUAGUACAAUAACCCAAAAUUAAAAAUAUGUUUUCUUUGAUUAAUUUUAAAAAAAAAAUUCAAACUGUAAAACUAGACAUCCACAUCUAUUCCAUUAAUCCGUUAUCUAAUUAGCUAGUUAGGUACUAUUUUAGUUAGUUUAGAAAGUGUACUGUUUGAUCAUUAACAUCGUAAACUUGAUGAAAUCGUAAUAAUUACGUAGAAGUAUUGAAAGUGAGAAAUUCAAUACAAUAAAAUUUAAAACAAAUACCUUUUUCUUACUCAUGUGACUAUGUGAGCAGGAUUGAACCUUUAAAUUAGUUCAAGAGAUUUUACUGGUUUAAGUAGGAGCACUCAUUCUAGUUAUAAACAUUCCAUAAAUAUUAUGAUUGUUUUAAUGGAACUUAUUUUAGGAUGAGAACAUUCAAGUCUUUUUGACAAUUUAAAUAAAAAAUUAUGUUUUUGGCCAAUAAUUACUAUAAUAUGGAAAUCUGAUAGCUAGUGCAACAAUUAGGGAUAACUGGUUCUACCCUUUUCUUUUACUUUAAUCCUCCUUAAUUACUCGAGGAAGAGUAGAGAGUUCAAGAAAAUGCAGAGACAUCGGACAAAUUAGAAAUCUAAUCCUAAAUGUGUAGGACAACAUUUGUCCAUGAGGUUCCUUAAAACGCAACUUUUGUGCAGUGAAAUUAAAACGGAUGGCGGAAGCUCUAGAAACCUCGGAUAGGCUUCAUUCAAAAAUGAAAAUCAAGAGGAAAGAUUGAAGUUUAAUUACUUCACUUGUAGUUUCAAAAAUGACUUUGUGAAGUAGGAGAAAAUGACUGAAAACAGCAAGCUACGAACACUGUCCAGAAAAUAAACCUCUGAACGAACAGCUUCUGUUUUGCCACGAUUUGAGAUCCUUAAAGCACCCCAAUUGUGAUGCCUCUAGUUAGUCCACACUUAGAAAUGUUCUAGGAGUUCAUAGGAUUUGGAAUCACGAAAUUUCGUUUAGAAAUGAGAGUGAUAAUGAGGAAACAUGAAUGCUAGUUCAUGAUGAUUCAUUCCACCAAAUAAAGCCACCACUAUCUUUUAGAACUAAGAAAGAAUUUUCUGACACGACAUAUGAUUGAUACUCGAAGACUUCUAAUUCUAGUCUUGAGUAUUUAUCCGCCGGCCUUGAUCGUCUGGAUAAUGAUUUAUGACCGACCCACCCACUAAGCCAUUAUUUAUUGAAUGUGAUCUUAUCACUUCAAUAAUUUAUUUAAUCAAAUAAAUAAAUAACUAAAUUAAUUAAGUUUAGAGGAAAAUUUUUGAGUUGUAGUGAAAAGUCAUCAAGCCAAUCACAUAAACUCGAGUAUGCAGAACAUGUUCUAAUGCUUUCUCUUAAUCCAUAUUAGGUCCAAUAAAAGUCCAAAAUUCUAAACCCAAAAUUGGUCUAGAAGUCCAUAAUUAUAUAUGAACCGGAACAUGUCCAAAAUGGUCAUUUUACGUGCUUGAUAUUAUACAUAAUGUUUAAUUGAGGAUUUAUGAAAUUUAUUUUGUUCCUUAAACUAUUUACGGAACAUCUAAAUUUCUAUCUUAAAUCAUAUUUAAGAUAUAUUUAUAUAUAUAUAUAUAUUCAUUCUUAAUGAAUUAUAAUAUAAAUAUCGAUUUUCCUAAAAUUAGGAAAUUUAACUUCUCAUUUUCUAGUAACUCCUUUUUUCAUUUCUAUUUGGUGUGUGACUUUUUAGGUUCUUUGUUAUAAGGUAGUAGAACUAUUUUACUGAUAACUCUUUAUGCAUUAAAUGAUGCUAAACCCUUUAGUCAUCAAAUAGAACUUUUCUAAUGACCUUAAGAUGCAUUGCUAAUACGCUUUACCAAUAUUAAUCUUAAGGUUUCUACAAGUCAUGAGUGACACCUAGCAGUAUUUCACAACCAUCCAAAUAACAAGAAUUGUUGGAUCUAUAGAACCUUUUCCAUUGUAUCCCUAUGUCUUGGUCUCUCUUGGUCUCUUCAUCAUCCAUGUCCAGAGAAAAGCACGCCUUACAGUUUAUUAUGUUAAGCAGUUAUGCUUUAUCUCAAAAUCAAAUAAUAAAAAAUAAAUAUUAUUAAGACUAACUUUUGUUGACUUAAAAAAAUAAAAAAAGAGUCCAAUGACUAAAAUGUUUGAAUUGCUGCAAUUUGCCUAUAAAAGCAAACCAAGAUCCUUAAAUUUCUUCACAUCUACAAAGUUAAACAAAUUUAAUUUUUUAGAAAACUAUGGGUUUAUCCUCCAUAUGUUUAUUCACAAUAUUCAUACGGUUAGUUUUUCCUUUCUUUUUCUUUAAUUUUACAAUUGCUAACUUCACUGCUUCUUCUAUGCCGCCACUCUGCCAUGAUGAUGAGCGCUCUGCUUUGUUGCAAUUCAAAGAAAACCGCAUCAGUGGUGAUUUUUAUGCUUGGAAAUUUGACUGUCAUCCUACAAUGGCAUCAUGGAAGCCAGAAGAAGGUAACGUUGAUUGCUGCUCUUGGGACGGAGUUCAUUGCAAUAAGAACACUGGUCAUGUCAUCAAGCUUGACCUCUCCCAUAGCUGCCUUUUUGGUUCUAUCAACUCUAGCAGCAGCCUUUUCAAGCUUGUCCAUCUUGAGUGGCUUAAUCUUGCUUUGAAUGACUUCAAUUCCUCCGAAAUCCCACCAGAAAUCAUCAACCUUUCCAGGUUAUCAUACUUGAACCUCUCUGGAACUUCUUUAUCUGGCCAAAUACCAUCAGAAAUUCUAAAGCUCUCCAAUUUGGUGUCCCUUGAUUUAUCACUAAAUGAUGUUCCUGGCGGUAGACUUGAACUCCAGAAGCCUAGUUUCGUAAAUUUAGUCGAGAAGUUAAGCAAUCUAAAAACACUUGACCUUGGUGAUGUUUCUAUUCGGUCAAUGAUACCUCAUAACAUUGCAAAUCUAUCUUCUUCGAUGAUUAUUUUUCUUCGAAACUGUGAAUUGCAAGGUAAUUAAAUUUUAUAUAUUUUCUCCUUAAUUAAUAUACAUGCAAUGUUAAAUUCAUUAGUAAAAACUAUUAUUAUUUUUAAUUUUCUACUUAAGCAAUGUGUUCUUUUUUCUUUUUUAACAAAUUUCAGGAAGAAUUCCAUCCUCACUCGGUAAUCUAUCCAAGCUCCUUCAUUUAGACCUUUCACUAAAUGAAUUACAGGGUGAGCUACCUGUUUCCGUUGGUAAUCUUCAUUCAUUGGCUUCCAUGAGCCUUUGCCACGUCCUAGUCAUACAGACAAUACACAUGCAAUACACGCAUGUUUUUGACUCCAAAUUAGCAAUAUUAACAUCCAUCCAUUAUAAUGAUAUGGGGAAUUCAACUUUAGUUGUCUUAGAACGGCGUUCAUAUUUACAUCUCUCCUUCCUCAUUCCUGUCUAAGAAACUAAAAAAUAAUUUUCUGACACGGAUGGUCCACUGGAAAUUUUAGUUCUUUGAAGUUAUUAGAUCUAAGGUCAUGUAGUUUUUGGGGCAAAGUUCCACAUUUGAUUGGUAAUUUCACCCAGCUACAAUAUUUGCUUCCCUAAACCACUUGACUGAAAUCGAGCUUGCCAUCACCUAAGAUUGAUUGAUUCUCGAAGACUUCUAAUUCUAGUCUUGAGUCUUCAUCGAGCCUUGAUCGUCUGUUGAUAAUGAUUUAUGACGACUUAUAGUGAAGCCGACACUAUAAAAUGAAAUAUUUUUAAUUUUAGUAAAUCCAAAUUUCAUUAAUUUUUCAGGGGUUUGUGUCGGAUUAACACCUAAUUUUAACAAGUUAGAUGUUUUACUUACUAGCUGGAAAAAUUUGGAAUUUUUUGCUCUCUCAUUAAAUAGGUUGUCAAUCUAAUUACUAGUCUCGAGUCUCUGAAAAUCAUGUCAAUUUUAGUAAAUCCAAAUUCAUUAAUUUAUCUUGUGUUUGUGUCUGAUUAAUUAGUUAAUCGUGCCGAAAUUGUCACUUCUACUAUUAUGACUUUGUUUGCAUUAAAAUUAAUUUAAUUAUCAUCUUUUUUCACUUUUUUUUUUAAUUUAAUAAACCUCGGUUAAGGAAUGGAAUUCACCAUUUAUCGCCAGUUGUUUGUAAGAUUUGUUUGAAUUUUGAGCUGAUAUCAUAUCCAAAUAAUAUUUAUCAAUUUUUUUUUAAAUUUCAAGUGGUCUGGACCACUUCGGAAUUAUGUUUUUCAUUUUUUCAAACAAAAAUAAAAAUGAAUGUAUUACUCAUUUUGCUAUAAACGUAUUUUCGGUGGAAAUAAAAAUGAAUGUAUUACUCAUUUACUCAUGAAUUAAUCCUCACGUUUGCUAUAAACGUAUUUUCGGUGGUGACGGAAUGGUAAAAGUUUACGACAUCACAUCAAAUAAUAAAAAAUAAAUAUUAUUAAGACUAACUUUUUGUUGAAAAUUGAUUAAAAAAAAAGAGUUGAAAAAUCAAGUCUCCAAUGGGAGAAUGAAGAAAAGCAAAACCGCAAAAUGAACAGUAGCCGCAAAAUGAACAGUAGCCGUAAGAUGAACAGUAGCCGCAAGAUGAACAGUAGCCGCAAGAUGAACAGUAGUCACUGGUGGCUAUAAAUAGAGGAGUGCUCCUCCUUAUUGUUUGUAUCCCAAAUCCCAGAGAAGGAAUCCAAGUUUUGGUGAGAAAUUGAGAGAGAGAAAUGUUCUUAAGCAUGUAGUUAUAUUGAAGGAGAAGUUGGCUCCUCAAUAUGGGUAUUACGGGUUUGCUUUGUUAAGGGAUAUUUCUCGGGAUUAUGUAUUUGGGGCUUGGGUGAGAGAAAAAUUAUUUCUGAAAGUGGUUAUAAUAAUUUUCCACAUAGUGAAUAUUUUUCUCUGGUUGUCUUGUGACAACGGCCGUGGUUUUUCUCCGGAUUUGGAGUUUUCCACGUAAAUCUUGUGUUGUGUGAUUGGUGUAUUCUCCAUUUAAUUUUUCUUAUUAAUUUGUUGCUUGAUAAAUUGCUUGGAGAGAUCUUGGGAGGAAGCUCAAUUUCCUAACACUUUUGUUGACUUAAGAAAAUAAAAAAAGAGUCCAAUGACUAUAAUGUUUGAAUUGCUGCAAUUUGCCUAUAAAAGCAAACCAAGAUCCUCAAAUUUCUUCACAUCGCUCCAAAUGGACAAACGUCCAAUGAUAUACUUAGCACUUACGACUAGUCAAUGACAAUGAACAGCAAAGGGAGAAUGAUGACAUAUAACAAGAUUCCGGAUAUCCUAGCGGGAAUUAUUCUCUCAAACAAUAGUUUUGAUGGGGCGAUUCCAGCAUCGAUUGCAAAUUUAAAGGGACUUCAAGUUCUAAACCUCCAGAGCAAUAAUCUCCUGGGCCAUAUUCCGUCAUGUUUGGGCAAUCUAACAAAUUGUCAUUGCAAUAAGAACACUGGUCAUGUCAUCAAGCUUGACCUCUCCCAUAGCUGCCUUUUUGGUUCUAUCAACUCUAGCAGCAGCCUUUUCAAGCUUGUCCAUCUUGAGUGGCUUAAUCUUGCUUUGAAUGACUUCAAUUCCUCCGAAAUCCCACCAGAAAUCAUCAACCUUUCCAGGUUAUCAUACUUGAACCUCUCUGGAACUUCUUUAUCUGGCCAAAUACCAUCAGAAAUUCUAAAGCUCUCCAACUUGGUGUCCCUUGAUUUAUCACUAAAUGAUGUUCCUGGUGGUAGACUUGAACUCCAGAAGCCCAGUUUCACAAAUUUAGUCGAGAAAUUAACCAAUCUAAAAACACUUGACCUUGGUGAUGUUUCUAUUGAUUCAACAAUACCUCAUAACAUCGGAAAUCUAUCUUCUUUGACAUUUGUUUCUCUUCGAAACUGUGAAUUGCAAGGUAAUUAAAUUUUAUAUAUUUUCUCCUUAAUUAAUAUACAUGCAUGUUAUUGUUAAAUAUAUAUAUUUUACUCGAAAAUUGCCAAUUGCGAUGUUAAAUUCAUUUGAAAAAAUUAUUAUUAUUUUUAAUUUUCUACUUAAGCAAUGUGUUCUUUUUUUUUUAAUACAAAUUUCAGGAAGAAUUCCAUCUUCACUCGGUAAUCUAUCGAAGCUCCUUCAUUUAGACCUUUCACUAAAUGAAUUACAGGGUGAGCUGCCUGUUUCCGUUGGUAAUCUUCAUUCAAAGAACUGGACCUUUCACAGAAUAGAUUUUUUGUUGAGUUGCCUAUUUCCAUGGGAAAUCUUGGUUCUUUGAAAGAACUUGACCUUUCACACAAUGCAAUUACAUCUUCACUUAGGAAUCUUUCCCAACUUUUCUUCCUUGACCUUGCUCAAAAUUCUUAUAGAGGAACGAUAGAGUUAGAUGUUUUACUUACUAGCUGGAAAAAUUUGGAAUUUUUUGCUCUCUCAUUAAAUAGGUUGUCAAUGCUCACCAAAGCCACUUCUAAUACCACUUCACAGAAACUUAAGUAUAUAGGACUGCGUUCAUGCAAUCUUACUAAAUUUCCAAAUUUCUUGGAAAGCCAACAUCAUUUGGUGGUCUUGGACCUUUCUGACAAUAGAAUUCGAAAGUGCUCUGCCGUUUUCCAUUCAUCAAGCAUGGUUGCUCUGCCGUUUAAGUGUCAUUUUCAUAAGAACACCACGAGUGACAAGUUUUCACCUUUAGGCAACGACGAUGACUUAAGUGGCGGGAGUGAGGUUGAAAAUCCUGCCUCUGAUGAAGAUAUGGAAGAUAUGAAGCAAUAAAGUUUGAUCAUAAAUUCUGGGCUCUGAACAUGGGAACCAACACUGGUGAUUGCAGUUCAGACUCGCGCCUCUUCCAUAACAUUGACUCAUUAUCAUACCAUAAACAGGUCUCAUUCAUCUACUGUUAAAGACCGGGGAAGGAAUUUUUCUCACCACGGCCUGAGGGGUUUAAGGCUGCAGCCGGCUAUCCUUCUCUCUGAUACUUAACAAAGCAAUGAGAAAAGUUGCAGUAUUGCAUUAUCGGCUUUUCUGUGUGUAUGUUUAUAUAUUACCUCAUAUAGAUCCUGAUAAGGAGCUAAUGGUAGUUAAUAUUCUUGUCAAUUACUACUACUAUAUCAUAUGCUUCAUACUACUAGAUACACAUAUUCCGUCUACUUUUCGACUUUUGCCAACCCCUCUGAGGCCUUGGCCCUAGAGCUCUCUGCUUAUGUCCUGGUGCUUGAUUCGUAGAUUUGGAUUGGGCUUUUUCGAGAGAAAAUACCUAAAGAGAAGUGUGCGAACACUCACUCUGUCAAGUGUAAAAUAUGUGGUCUUAGCGCCAUUGAGAUUUGAUCGAUUGAUUUUAACGGGUAGGUCCAUCGUGCACCCUCAAGUCUUGACCAUAUAAUCAAAGCAAGAUGGCAACCUCCCGCGUAUUUUAUAUUCUAAGACAAAGCCUUUAAUAAAGGAGAGAAAUCAAUACAUUCAUUCAAAAAUAAUGCAAAAAAAAAAAAAAAACGUUUCUUUUAUCGAUAUAAAAAAUUGGGUAUAAAAUUAUCCUCGUACCCUCCCCGAAUGGGAAAAAUCCCCGAGAGUACCCGUCCCCGUGGGGAUUUUUGUCAUCCCUAUUGAUAAUAGAUUAUUUUUGUAUUAGAUACUUCUUUUAAAUUAAAAUAAAUAAUAAUCAUCAUUUCACCGACAAAUAUGAUUGUAUUUGGAUAAAGAAAUUAUACUUGGAUAAAACUUAGUUUACAAAAAAAAAAAAAUUGAUACUCGAGCAGUUUCUACACUUUAAGCAGUUUAGCAAUAGACUAGGAUAUUGAUAAUCGUUUCUUAAAAAAAAAAAAAAAACUAUGCUCAUAAAAAUAACAAGGUGAAAAAUAUUAUCGAAUGUUUUAAAAUGAUUGGUCUUUAAAAUAAAAAUGAUCAUCCAUUUAAAUAAUUUAAAGUUAUAUUUUGUAUAAGAUUCAUAAGGGAUCAAAUUGUUUCAUAGAAAACGUUGGUCAAAAACUUUUACAAGAAUCUAAUUUAAUGUCCUUUUAGUGAUACGUCCAUAACAGCCAUGUUGUUGCAAUGUUUGCUUUAUUCCACCUCGAACAAGACUGCAAAUAGGCACAAUACUUCCUUUCUUUUCUUUCUCUUCUUUUUUGUUUUUUUUUUUUAAUUUUUUUUUUUUUUUUUUUUUUUUUUAAUUUUUUUGUUUGUUCUUAUUUUAUACACGCAGGCCAGACGGCCCAGACCCCACGUAUCAUUAAAAAAAAUUGCCAAACACGGUCUUGUGUUUUUAUCCAUUUGGACUCGGCAGCUUGCGUCGGUGCAAAUCAUUUACAAAUGUGACGAAUUAAUUGACGGUAAAUCGAUGACGAAAAUUGAACACCCAAGCAUUCCAACAUCAAAUGGUAAAUGAUCAAACGGUGGAUGAUUUGAGUCCCAACGAAAAAGAAUUCCACAUGCAUCACGCCAUACAAUCGUUGAAUGCGAAAAAUAGAAAGAUAUGAUAAUAAAAAUUUUAGUAAUAAGAAAAUUAAUCAUGUUAGCGAAUGGUAGUUAUCAAAUCGGUUGGAAGGUUAAUGUAAUGGUGGACAUUGGAACUUAUGAUGUACAACAUAGUUUUUAGUCAAAGAUUCGGAGAUUUAAACAGUAUUAUAUAAAUUAAAGAGUGGUUAAUGUGGCAAUUAGUUGAUUAAUUAAUUAUAUUCCAUUUGUUUAGUUAUAUUCCAUUUGUUUAGUUAUAAUUGAUUAAAUUGAUAAGAUUAUCUUUCAUAAAUAAAAUUAUGACAUUCAGUUUGAUUCUUUUUUUUUCCAGAUAAAAAUCAAAUCGUUUCUACUUUCUCUAUUAAUGCAAAUUUCUCACAAUUAAUCUCACGGUGGAAAGUUGUCAAAAAAAGAAUAAAUCUGAAGGUGGAAAGAAAAAAUAACCUGAUGCAUUUAAAUUGGUGAUAAUAAGUAGUAUUCAAUUUUAGAUAAAAGACCAAAAAAACCCACACGCUUUUGAAACUGUGUGUGUCUGUGUGAUAUUCAUUUCGCCUCUAUGCUGCCCAAUAUUAUUUGAUUUUAUACCAAUGUUAUUUGAUUCUUGCACCAACAUUAUUUGUGUAUGCUGACCUACAUGCAACACAGCUAAUAAACUUCAUCAACGUAAUAACUCCUAAGCAGUAAAGAGAAUAUGGGAAUUACUGAAAGAGAACCUCACAUUAUUGUUUGAUCAAAAUUAUGUAACACAUCAAACUUUCCAGACUCAUCCGAAAACCUCAAUCAUCUUGAUGAGGGUUGAUCCUCUCAACUCUUUCAAGACUUCCAAGCCAGCGAACAAAGUCAACAUAGAUACCCAGCACUACAACAAUGCCCAUCUUCCAAUACAUCAAACAAUUUUCAAAACCUUGGAUGAGUCUACUAAACAAACUAAACAUGAUGCAAACACGACCAGUACUUCCUCAAAUUGGUUUCAUCUGUAUUAUAUACUUGCGACACAGGGCAAUAAAUGAACUUAAUGAUAAACCAGACUACCUAUACUAACUAUAUUAUAUACCUAACUGCUUACAAAACUUGUUUCUCCCAGCCCCAUGAGAUUCCUGCAUUGCCAAAUCCAUUAUGGCUAAUUGGACCACAAGAAUUCAUUGAGUUCCACUGGGUUGGAGAAUGUUUUCCAACCCGGAAAUGGUCUCUCACAAACAAAAUUAGACCUCUUAUAUCCUCUUCUACUCUUCCAAUCCAAGGUCAGAUCAAACUUCUUCUUCCUCAGGUAAUUCUGAUUCUAAUCCUCCUUGUGAGUUAAAUUCAAAUUCUAAUCCUUCUAGUGAGUUAAAUUCAAAUUCUCAGGUUCUUAGUGAUCUGGACAUGCCUAUUGCUCUUAGGAAAGGUACUAGAAGUUGUGCCAAAUACUCAUUGUCUAAUUUUGUUUCAUAUCACAACCUAUCACCUUCUUUCUAUGCAUUUACCUCACAACUUUCUAGUGUAGAAAUUCCAAAGAAUGUGCAGGAUGCUCUAAGUGUACCUGAUGGAAGGCAGCUAUCCUUGAAGAGAUGAAUGCUCUUGAGAAGAAUCAGACUUGGAAGGUGGUCAAUUUGCUUAAAGGAAAGUCGACAAUUGGCUGCAAGUGGGUAUUUACUGUCAAAUACAAUUCAGAUGGUUCACUUGAGAGAUACAAGGCUCGCCUAGUGGCAAAGGGGCUUACGCAAACUUAUGGGAUUGACUAUUCAGAGACCUUUGCACCAGUAGCAAAGUUAAACACUGUACGAGUUCUCUUGUCUAUCACUACAAACCUAAAUUGGCCAUUACAAUAGUUGGAUGUGAAAAAUGUGUUUCUCAACGGGGAUUUAAAAGAGGAAGUAUACAUGGAUCCUCCUCCUGGUUUCUUUGAAAAUUUUGGGUCAAAUGUGUGCAAAUUGCAAAAGUCCUUGCAUGGUCUCAAACAAUCGCCUAGGGCUUGGUUUGAGAAAUUUACUAUGGCUGUGAAUAGACAAGGUUACAGACAAAGUCAGACUGAUCAUACAACGUUCACUAGAGUUUCAGCUAAAUGUAAAAUCACUGUGCUUAUAGUGUAUGUGGGUGACAUUAUUCAUACUGGAGAUGAUUUAGUUAAAAUGGAUAGAUUGAAGCAAAGUCUAGCCACUGAUUUUGAAAUCAAGGACUUAGGUGCCUUGAAAUACUUUCUUGGAAUGGAAGUUGCUCGUUCCAAGAAAGGUAUAGUUGUCUCACAAAGGAAAUACAUCCUUGAUUUAUUGAAGGAAACUAGAAUGAGUGGCUGUAAGCCAGUGGAUAGACCUGUGGAGUACAAUUUAAGACUAGGUGAAGGAGAAAAAGCCCUAGUAGAUCUACGACGAUAUCAAAAUUUGGUGGGAAAACUUAUUUACUUGUCUCUUACUAAACCAGACAUCACUUUUCCAGUCAAUAUAAUAAGUCGCUUCAUGCAUCAUCCUCGGGAAGAACAUCUUGAAGCUGUUUAUAAAAUUCUCAAAUAUCUAAAAGGUACUCUAGGAAAGGGACUUUUGUUUAGAAAAACAGAGAAUAGAGGUAUUGAGGUAUACACUGAUGCUAAUUGGGCAGAUUCAAUUACAGACAGGAAGUCUACUACAGGCCAUUGCACUUUUGUAUGGGGUAAUUUAGUGACUUGGAGGAGUAAAAAACAAAAUGUAGUUGCACGAAGUACUGCUGAAGCUGAAUUUACUGCUGUACCGUACAUCCGCCUUGGCCGUACAGCAUGCCGAGUGAAAUAAAGGCAAUUCGCUAUUCAAUCCUUGCACUACCACUUAUAUUUUCGUCUCAGAAAAUACCAUCUAAGCUGAAGUAAAUGCAUGCAAUUGAAUGUCUCGAUCAAUGACGAGGGAGAUAAUGUUUUAAGAUUUAAUAUGUUGUUGGCGAGUUUGAAGGUGUUGCGGUCAUAUACUAUUAAUUCAAUAAUUUAAAAUGGAAUCUUUUAAUAUAUUUUAUUAGUGUAAGUUUUGUAAAUUAUUUAAUUUUUAGUUUCAAAAGAAUCUUUUAAUUGAUUUACAUUUAUAAUUUAUUGAAUAAAUAAUUGAUAUCAUUAAUUUUAAUAAAUAAAAUUAUAAAUAUUAUGAUUUUAUAAAUAUGUAUUAAUGUUAUUAUCGACUAUGAUUUAUAACUCUAUGUAAAUCUAGUUUAACAAUUAAGUUAACCCUUAAAAAAAUUAUUAUUGUUGUUGUUGUUGUUAAGUAGUUAAAAAGAAUUUUAAUACCGUAAGGUCUCACUUAAAAACUAAUAUUAUAUUCUCUUAAUAUUAAUAAUUUAUUAUUAUUGAAUAUGAAAUUAAGUUUUGAAUUUUUUAUUCUAUUGAAUUUGAGAAAAGGCACAUGAACAUAAAAAAGUAUAAAGGUUAGAAAAAAGUAGGCCAACAAUUUGGUAUGUCCUCUUAAAAAAAAAAAAAGCUUAUCGUGCUUUUUUUCUUAAGCAUGACACAAAACGACUUAUGAUACGGUAUGUGUGUUGGGCUGGGUCUAAGUAAAAAAAAAAAAAAGGCACGACCUAGGACGGCAUGAAAUACAGGGUGGGCAUGGUAAGGUACGAGUAUGAGUAUGGAUGGGCCUUUCAUUGAUGGGCUAGGCCAACACCAUCUCCACCACUAGAUAACCUAUUUUGUUAAUAAUAAAAAGAAAACUCUAAAAUUUGAAUAAAUCAUAUUCAAACCUAAUUUGUUUGAUUUAUUGUGAGAGGAAGACAAUAUUCUCUACACCAAAUAGUAUAUUUUUGUAAUGAUCAUAUGCAGCCACAUAUGAAUCUUUACGUAACCUUAUUAUUAUGUUGUUUUCUAAAAAAGCUAACGACAAAUUCUAGAAUACAUUAGAAAUAACAAAAUUAGUUAAUGCAUGCAUGAUAUGUUUAAUUAAAUUAAUUUAAUCACGCUUACAUGGAGAUUUUCUAAAAUAAAAGCACAUAUGUCAUCAAAUUAUUUGUUUGUUGGGAAUUGAUAUGAUACCUCUAUUGUAUUAUAGAAUUUCACCCAAAAAGAAUAAUGUUAUGAGUUGUUUUAUAUGAUAAUUUUAUGUUAUGAGUUGUUGAUUUGGUAAUUAAUAGAAUAAUGGUUCAUGAUAUUUUGGUGUGAUGAUUUGUGUAUGGAGUUGGCUUGUAUCAUGAUUUAUAAUAAUUUGGGAGUAAUAUUACUAAACUUGUAUUUGAGGUAAUGCUUGUUGUUAGGGGGAGAAUGUGUUGAAAUUUCUACUCGGACAAACAUGAGUAAUGAAUUUGCUACUCUUAUUCUUUUCCUUUAAGUUUUCUUUUUGAUGAUGAAGGGGGAGAAGAAGACAUAUUUUUAAAUUUAUAAAAAUUUACUACUCUUUUUCUUUGCCAAUUAAGUUUUCUUUUUUAUGAUGAAAGGGGAGAAAAAUGCAUGUAUUUAAAUUUGUUAAUUUAGCUAAUUGGUAAAUUGUAAGAGAAGAUUAUAUUUAGGGGGAGCAAUUUGUGGAAUCAUUCUUUAAAUACAUGAAAUGUUUGUCAUCAUCAAAAAGGGGGAGAUUGUUAACAUAUAUGUUUCCAUAAUGUUGAUUUUGAUGCUAACAAACAAGAUUAAGAAUGAUUAAUCUUUUAAGCUCAAAUUAUUUUCUUUUUAAAUAAAUCAUUAUUUUCAAAUUAUAAAGGUUUCAUAUUUAAUGGAAAAAUGAUGUUAUGGAAUUAAAGUGUUUUGGACUAAAAUAAAAGUAUUUUAAAACCUUUGAUAUUGUUUUUAAAAUUUCAGAUUUGGACCUAUUUGAAACUAUUUAAAUAUUUUGGGUCAUUCUAUAAUUUCACAUAGUUUGGGUGAAAUCAUAAUUUCAGAAAGUUUUGGGAUUGACAAAGCAUUAUUUAAAAAUUCUNNNNNNNNNNNNNNNNNNNNNNNNNNNNNNNNNNNNNNNNNNNNNNNNNNNNNNNNNNNNNNNNNCGGAUGUCCAUAAACGGUAAGCCGGUUAUGACCAAAAUGUGCAUAACGGCUAGUUUUUGAGCUCAAACUAUAUAAACUCAAAACCAAUUCAUUUUUGGUAAUCUUGGCAAGCAAAAACAAGUGCACACAACAUAUAUUGAGCUUCAAUUUCGUAAAUCAUCAUUUAUUAAAUCACCUUUGUUCUUCAAUUUGUAUAUCCACUCUUAAAGAGAGUUUCAUUGAUGUAAUUUUCAUUUCUCAUCAAAUUGUGAGUGUACAAGUGUGAGAAACACUUGGGGUGAAGAGAUUGGAGAGAUAAUCUCUUGUUGUAAAGGUUCAUUGACAUCUUGAAGUCAAUUGUAAACUAUUGAAGCCUUGGAAAGGCUCGGAUAGUGAAAUCCUCAAGCCCGGUGUGCUUGGAGGCGUUGACGUAUGCGGGGAUUGCCGAACCACGUAAAAAUCCUUGAGUUUGCUUUCUCUUCCCUUGCUCAUUUAUUAUUGUGCUUUCAUUGAAUUUAUUGUUUUCAAAUUUAUUAAGGCAUUAGAUUGGAUUGUUGUGUGUUUGCUUAGCUUAAUUUAUAAAAACCCAAUUCACCCCCCCUCUUGGGUUGCCUAGUUAGUAUUUCAGUAGUGACACCGAUGGCUUCAAUAAUGGACGCGAAGGCGCAACAAUGAGCGUAUGUGGUGAUUUUGUGCCUAAAACCAAUGGGUUCAAAAUAAUGGGGGUUCAAAAUAAGGACGCGAAGGCUCGUUCAAUAGCAUAUACUAUGAUUUUGGUUUCCAUGCAAUGGGUUUUAAAACCAAUUUGUAGAUUAAAAUAGGUUAAUUUUAGAUUUUGAGGGGUUUCAGUGCUUUGGUUUCUCAGCCCUUGCCGAUGAAGUGAUAAGUCAAAGGUGCCAACACUUAAUUUUUUUGUGGUUUAGUCAAUAUAGUUAAAUGAUAGCAUUUAAAUGUUAAAUAAAUAUUUUUGUUUUAAAAUUUUUUUAAAUCUGUUAAACGGUGUCUUUCAUGCCCAAAUUAAUUCCAUCUGAAACUCACGGUUUGAUUAAAUAUUAAUAUGCUAUCAUGUUUAUCUAAUAUAUAAAAACUCUAUCACAAAUCUGUCAUGGCUUUAUGAUGUAUGAAAAUUCUUUCAUGUGUCUAUCACAUUCUUGUGAUUAAUGACUAAUUUUCUAAUAUGUAUCACAAAAAUUCUGUCAUGUUAGCCCAUUUUUCUAAUAGUGAAUGCAGGACCUACAUUAACAAAAAUGACAAUUUGAAAAGCCAUUUGCAUCUCGAGAAGAAAGAGCGUUAAUCUUUGAAGGAGAGAAAUCCUACCAAGGGAUGUGACUACAUUGAAGACCCAAGUUUGACUACAGAAAUUUGCAAUGCAAGUACAUUGCAAAUGGUCAAAGAGGGAUGAAGAGAAGGAGUUGGACCGCCAGCAUGAAAUCAGAGACUCCAACCAAAUAUUGAACCAACCCCUAUUAAAGGCAUUUUCAACAACUAGAAUGAUAGCAAAUAAAUAAAUUUUUAAUUAAAUUAUUAAUUAAUAGUACAAUAACUCAAAAUUGAAAAUAUGUUUUCUUUGAUUAAUUUAAAAAAAAUUCAAACUCUAAAAUUAGACAUCCACAUCUAUUCCAUCAAUCCGUUAUCUAAUUAGCUAACUAGGUACUAUUUUAGUUAGUUUAGAAACUGUACUGUUUGAUCAUUAGCAUCGUAAACUUGAUGAAAUCGUAAUAACUACGUGGAAGUAUUGAAAUUAGGAACUUAUUUUAGGAUAAGAACAUUCAAGUCUUUUUGACAAUUUAAAUAAAAAAUUAUGUUUUUGGCCAAUAAUUACUAUAAUAUGGAAAUCUGAUAGCUAGUGCAACAAAUAGGGAUAACUCGUUCUACCCUUUUCUUUUACUUUAAUCCUCCUUAAUUACACGAGGAAGAGUAGAGAGUUCAAGAAAAUGCAGAGACAUCGGACAAAUUAGAAAUCUAAUCCUAAAUGCACUGAUGGAGUAGAAGAUCUCAUUCAGCAUGCCGUGAAGGAAAAGUUAAGUGAACUGGUGGUAGUGGGGAAAGGAGAAAAAAGAAGCAGAUCUAUUCCAUGAGCCUUUGCCACGUCCUAGUCAUUCAGACAAUACAAAUGCAAUCAACGCAUGACUUUUGACUCCAAGUUAGCAAUAUUAACAUCCAUUAUAAUGAUAUGGCGAAUUCAACUUUAGUUGGCUUGAACUAAGAAAGAAUUUUCUGACACGACAUAUGAUUGAUACUCGAAGACUUCUAAUUCUAGUCUUGAGUCUUUAUCCGCCGGCCUUGAUCGUCUGGAUAAUGAUUUAUGACGACUUAUAGGGAAUCCGACACUAUAAAAUGAAGUAUUUUUAAUUGAUCUAAAUUAAAAAAUCACGCCAAUUUUAGUGAAUCCAAAUUUCAUUAAUUUUUCUGGUGUUUGUGUCUGAUUAACACCUAAUUUUAACUUCUAGAAUGAUUUUGCAUGAAAUUAUGGAAUUUUGGGUUGUUAACGUGAGAUAUUUGUUACAUUUUAGGUGCACUAAUUAGAGCCCAUCUCAGAAACCAUCAGCUAAAGCUCAUUACAAAUUGGCGCAUUGGCAGAUCGGCUAAGAAAUCUAAAGGAGUAAAACUCGAAUUCUUGGCGUGAUUUUUUAAUCACAAGGUACAUGUGCUCAUCACUCAACCAACGAGUGCGUAGUUUACAAAGAAGAGUGACAGUGAUAAUGUUGCUAGUUUGGAGAUAAUAUCAACAUGCCGUGGGGAGGAAAAUUUUUGAGUUGUAGUGAAAAGUCAUCAGCCAAUGACAUAUACUCGAGUAUGCAGAAUACUCAACUGGCCGUGAAGGGAAAUACAAGAGGGGAAAGGAGAAAAAAAAAAGAAGCAAAUUAAUUCAGAAAAUGAAAUUAUAGAAAAUGAAAGGAAAUAUAAACACAGGUCACCGCCUUGGCCGUACAGCAGUAAGACUAACUUUUGUUGACUUAAAAAAAUAAAAAAAGAGUCCAAUGACUAAAAUGUUUGAAUUGCUGCAAUUUCCCUAAAAAAGCAAACCAAGAUCCUUAAAUUUCUUCACAUCUACAAAGUUAAACAAAUUUUAUUUUUAAGAAAACUAUGGGUUUAUCCUCCAUAUGUUUAUUCACAAUAUUCAUACGGUUAGUUUUUCCCUUCUUUUUCUUUAAUUUUACAAUUAAAAUUGAAAUAUUAUUAAACUCAAAAUUCUACCUGCUGUACCGUACAUCCGCCUUGGCCGUACAGCAGAUCAUCAACCUUUCCAGGUUAUCAUACUUGAACCUCUCUGGAACUUCUUUAUCUGGCCAAAUACCAUCAGAAAUUCUAAAGCUCUCCAAUUUGGUGUCCCUUGAUUUAUCACUAAAUGAUGUUCCUGGUGGUAGACUUGAACUCCAGAAGCCUAGUUUCGUAAAUUUAGUGGAGAAGUUAGGCAAUCUAAAAACACUUGACCUUGGUGAUGUUUCUAUUCAGUCAACGAUACCUCAUAACAUCGCAAAUCUAUCUUCUUCGACGAUUAUUUCUCUCCGAAACUGUGAAUUGCAAGGUAAUUAAAUUUUAUAUAUUUUCUCCUUAAUUAAUAUACAUGCAAUGUUAAAUUCAUUAGUAAAAACUAUUAUUAUUUUUAAUUUUCUACUUAAGCAAUGUGUUCUUUUUUCUUUUUUAACAAAUUUCAGGAAGAAUUUCAUCCUCACUCGGUAAUCUAUCCAAGCUCCUUCAUUUAGACCUUUCACUAAAUGAAUUACAGGGUGAGCUGCCUGUUUCCGUUGGUAAUCUUCGUUCAUUGGAAGAACUUGAUCUCUCUGCAAAUUUUUUGUCGAGUGAGUGGCCUAUUUCCAUUGGAAAUCUUAGUUCUUUGAAAGAACUUGACUUUCACAAAAUAGAUAUUUUUGGUGAAUUGCCUAUUUCCAUGGGAAAUCUUGGUUCUUUGAAAGAACUUGACCUUUCACAAAAUAGAUUUUUUGGUGAAUUGCCUAUUUCCAUGGGAAAUCUUGGUUCUUUGAAAGUUCUUUGGAAAAACUUGACCUUUCAUUCAAUAAUUUUUCGGUUGAGUUUCCAUGGUCCACUGAAAAUUUUAGUUCUUUGAAGUUAUUGCUUUUCUUCCUUGACCUUGCUCAAAAUUCUUAUCGAGGAACGAUAGACUUAGAUGUUUUACUUACUAGCUGGAAAAAUUUGGAAUUUUUAGCUCUCUCAUUAAAUAGGUUGUCAGUGCUCACCAAAGCCACUUCUAAUACCACUUCACAGAAACUUAAGUAUAUAGGACUGCGUUCUUGCAAUCUUACUAAAUUUCCAAAUUUCUUGCAAAACCAAUAUCAUUUGCUGGUCCUGGACCUUUCUGACAAUAGAAUUCAAGGAAAAGUACCUAAAUGGUUGUUAGACCCCAAUAUGCAGAAUCUCAAUGCCUUGAACAUUUCGCAUAACUUUUUAACUGGGUUUGAUCAGCAUCUUGUUGUUCUUCCAGCGAAUAAAGGUGAUUUGCUGACUUUUGAUCUUAGCUCUAAUAAUUUACAAGGACCACUCCCAGUUCCACCCCCCGGAACCAUUCACUAUCUAGCUUCAAACAAUAGCUUAACUGGGGAAAUUCCAUCGUGGAUAUGCAAUUUGAAUAUUCUUGAAAGCCUUGUUUUGUCUCACAAUAACUUAAGUGGAUUGCUUCCUCAGUGUUUAGGCAAUUCUAGUGAUGAACUUUCAGUGCUCGACUUGCAGGGGAACAACUUCUUUGGGACCAUCCCAAAUACUUUCAUUAAAGAAAGUAGAUUAGGCGUGAUUGAUUUAAGCCAUAAUAUAUUUUAAGGAAGAAUUCCAAGAUCAUUGAUCAACUGUUCAAAGUUGGAAUUUCUUGGUCUUGGGAACAACCAGAUUAGUGACACUUUUCCCUCUUGGUUAGGAACUCUUCCAAACUUGAAUGUUCUCAUCCUACGAUCUAACAUAUUUUAUGGCAUUAUAAAAGAACCCAGAACUGAUUGUGGAUUUUCUAAACUCCGCAUCAUUGACCUAUCUAACAACAUAUUUAUUGGAACGCUUCCAUUAAAGAGUUUCUUGUGUUGGAAUGCCAUGAAAAUUGUCAAUACAAGUGAUGCAGCGGAAUUUUAAUGUUCAAAAUAUUCUGUUGAUUCUAGAGAAUACCGGAACAAAAGAACAACUAAAUUCACGUUGAUUCAAAAGAAUACCGCGAAUUUAGGGGUUAAGACUCGUUGAUUCUGCAGAAUACCGAGAAUUAACUGUUCAAAUACUCACAAAGAGAUUUGAAAAUUGAAAUAUUAUUAAACUCAAAAUUCUACCAUCAAAGACUACAAGAGGGAGCUAUUUAUAGUAGUAGUAAUUAUCCUAAUUCAUGAAGUAAAAACAAAAUCCUAAAUUGAAAGGGAAACAAAAUUCUAAAUUAGAAAGGAAUUUAAAAGUCUUAAACUUUAGUUAAUAAGGAAACUAAUCCUAGUAUAAUAUGGAUUCCUACUCUUCAUCAACAAGUGAGCUAAGAUAUCUGCAAGAUGUGCUUUCUCCGUAUGGACAAACGGCCAAUGAUAUACUUAGCACUUACGACUACUUAAUGACAAUGAACAUCAAAAGGGCGAAUGAUGACAUAUAACAAGAUUCCGGAUAUCCUAGCGGGCAUUAUUCUCUCAAACAAUAGUUUUGAUUCGGUGAUUCCAGCAUCGAUUGCGAAUUUAAAGGGACUUCAAGUUCUAAAUCUCCAGAACAAUAGUCUCCAAGGCCAUAUUCCGUCAUGUUUGGGCAAUCUACCAAAUUUGGAAUCAUUGGAUCUCUCAAACAAUAAGUUUUCAGGACAGAUUCCUCAACAACUAGUUGAGCUCACAUUUCUCGAAUUCUUCAAUGUCUCGGACAAUCACCUUACAGGACUGAUACCACCAGGAAAGCAAUUUGCUACAUUUGACAAUACUUCUUUCGACAGCAACUCAGGAUUGUGUGGAAGGCCUUUGUCCAAAGGAUGUGAGAGUGAUGUAGCUCCAGCAAAUGAAGAUCAUACUAAGGGCUCAGAGGAGUCUCUAUUUUCGGGCACAUCUGAUUGGAAAAUCAUUCUGAUUGGCUACGCGGGCGGACUUGUGGCAGGAUUGGUUGUCGGGUUCAACUUUAGCACAGGAAUUAUCGGAUGGAUUCUGGAGAAGUUGGGAACGCAGCAAAAGGCAACAAGGAGGAGGAGGAGACGUAGAAACUGAAUGCAAUUAUAAUGUUAUUGUGAUUUUCGUUUCUAAUUCUGUCAUUGUAAUGUUGGCGGUUUUUUUUUUUAUAGGAUCCUUACAUUUCUCCUCAAAAAAUAAAAAUAUAAGCUGGUUAUUAUAUAUUAAAAACUGGUUUCUGGUUUUGUCGCUUUUCAAAUUUAAAUCACUACUAGGUAUGAAUAAAAAAAUAAUAGUGUUUGGUAAUUAACAUAUUAUUAAAUGAUAAUUGUGAGGGAUUAGGUUCUACUUCUACCAUUAAAAAAAUUAUAUUAAUAAUAAUUUUGACAACAAAAGUAAAGGUAACAAAGGUUUUUAUGCAACAACUAUGGGUUCGAAUCAUCUUUUAACUUUGGUUGACUUAAAAUGGUGCCCCUGCAUCUGUCCUUCGUCAUUCCUAUCUCAAGAACAAUUUUAAUACAUCUGUUUUCCCACUAAUCUUUGCUGUAUAUAAUUGCUGAUGUGUUUACUUUCAAUACUAUUUAACACAAAACUCUCUUUUAAGUUUCAGUGCCAAAGCUUUAAAGAUGUUAAUAUAUGGGUUUGUGAGUAAUGUUUCAUUGGCUUAUUUUAGAAAUCUGACGAUUUGAUUAUUGUUUCAUGGUUAGAGCUUAGAGAAGGCAUUUGCCCCCAUUUGCUCAUUUGAUUCAGAUUCAAGUUUACUGUAAUUAUAGGUUUCAAUUUUGAUUAUAAAUUAACACUGGGUCCUAGUUUUGGCCAUAGGUGUUACAAUUAAUUGCAAUUACUUUGUAGUCCAGUUGGAUAAAUAUCUCACUACUAGAAUAAUGGGCCAACAUGACAGAAUUUUUGUGAAAGAUAUUAGAAAAUUAGUCAUUUAUCACAAGAAUAUGAUAGACACGUGACAGAAUUUUCAUAUAUCGUAAAGGCAUGACAGAUUUGUGAUAGAGUUUUUAUAUAUCAUAUAAAUAUGAUAGCAUAUUAAUAUUUAAUAAAAUGGUGAGUUUAGUACAGAUCAAUUUGGGCAUGAAACGGCACCGAGGAUUGAUUUUUCAUAAUUAAAAAAAUUUGAAAAACAAAAGUAUUUAUUUAACUUCUUAACGUUGUCGUUUACUAUAAACUACAAGAAAAUUCUAAGUGUUAAUAAACACUUCAGCUCCUUUGACUUCAUCACUCCAUCAGCAAGGGCUGAAAAACCUAAGCAUUGAAACCCCUCAAAAUCCAGAAUUAACAAGCCCUACUUUAAUCUACAAAUUGGUUUUGAAAUCCAUUGUAUAGAAACCAAAAUCAUUGUACGUGCUAUUGAAGCAACCACUUCAUUAUAAAUUUUUAGGCACAAGAUCACCAUAUAUGCUCAUUGUUGCGCCUUCGAACAACACGUUCCCUUUUGAAGCCGUCGUUGUCACUAUUUCUUUGCAUUGUUUAAUUGGCGGUGGAGAAGCCAUCCUUGUAAUUGCUGAAUCCUUAGCUUUAUUGUCAAUUAGCUUUUUUAUUUUUUUAUUUUGAAUAAAUUAGUUGGGCAUUAUAAAAUUAAUUGUCAGUUUUAUUGUUAUCUCCCUUAUUUGUUCAUAAUUUAUGCCUCUUUUUUGGGGAUUUCUAUAAUGAAUGGUUUACCUUUAUUAUUAAUUUUUUUAAUUCUUGUUUGUUUCUUUUGUUAUUUUUUAAUUUUUUUUUUUAAUUCAAGAAGCUUAUACUUUGUCCUUUUAUUAAACCUAGAAAUUGCUCAAUCAUUUAAUUUAGUAUGCCCUCUUUUAAAAAUUUUUUUUUUUCUGAAUUGCAGGAUUUCACUGCUUUGUUUCCUUUCAAAUUCGAUUUCUAACAUCAGGUUUGUUCAAUUCUUUACUUGCCUUUCCAUUCAAUGUUUAAAAAAUGCUUGCUGGCAAUGGUUUGUCUGAAGGUUGUUAUAUUUUGUAAUUUUUCAGUCAAAGCUUGCAUGUGUGUGAACUGAUUUUGCUUGAUGAUAUAGCACUUUUCAUUGGCUGGUGUUUUUUAUUGGGAAGGAUCCGAAACUGAGGUCCAAUGGUGUUGACAUAUAUUUUAAUGAUUGUGAUUUAGACUUGGUAAUUGAUAAUACUUUCUAGUGUAUUUUAUUGAGUUGAAAAGUGAGGCCCCCUUUUUCAAUUGUCUUUUUAAUGUUUGAAAGAAAUGGUACCAUGUGGGGGCAAGUUUGGUCAUGUGGACCAAGCAAUGUUUAGUUGCUUAUAUAUAUAUAUGUAUAUAUAUAUAGUCUGGUGGUCCAUGAAAUACUGGAUUGUUAGAUUUUUUUUAAAAAUAAAUGUUAGAUAUAUGUGGGCUAAAUUAUUUACGAUAUUAUUAGCUGGGUAUUGUUAGUUACAGGUUUUGGCAAACGAUGACAACACGUUGGUGAAGUUAUAUUUGUUGCACAUGAUGACAAGCUUUUGUUUUUAAUUUAUUUAUUUCAUUAAUUUAUAAACUGAAUAUUAAUAUUGUUUUGUUGCUUAAUUUAUUGAUAAUGGAAACCGUUUAUCAUUGCUGCCCAUUACUACAAUAUGUUGAAAUUUGUCUCGAUUAUAUGUCAUGUGCUAAACAAAAAAUGGAUAAAUCUUGCCUUAAAUAUGAUAUGUUGUUUGAUAAGUAUGUGGCUGAUGUGAAAAAAAUUAUUAAGAUUGUAGUUAAAAGACUAGGAUUCUUUCCAAAAAAGAGUUUCUUUCCUCUUAUAAUUCUUAUAAACCUAAAUAGAAAUAAAUAUGAUAUGCUUGCACUCAUUCUUAGUUAUAAACAUUCCAUAAAUAUUAUGAUCAUUUUAAUGGAACUUAUUUUAGGAUGAGAACAUUCAAGUCUUUUUGACAAUUUAAAUAAAAAAUUAUGUUUUUGGCCAAUAAUUACUAUAAUAUGGAAAUCUGAUAGCUAGUGCAACAAAUAGGGAUAACUGGUUCUACCCUUUUCUUUUACUUUAAUCCUCCUUAAUUACACGAGGAAGAGUAGAGAGUUCAAGAAAAUGCAGAGACAUCGGACAAAUUAGAAAUCUAAUCCUAAAUGCACUGAUGGAGUAGAAGAUCUCAUUCAGCAUGCCGUGAAGGAAAAGUUAAGUGAACUGGUGGUAGUGGGGAAAAGAGUAAAAAGAAGCAGAUUUAUUCCAUGAGCCUUUGCCACGACCUAGUCAUACAGACAAUACAAAUGCAAUCAACGCAUGACUUUGACUCCAAAUUAGCAAUAUUAACAUCCAUUAUAAUGAUAUGGCGAAUUCAACUUUAGUUGGCUUAGAACGGCGUUCAUAUUUACAUCUCUCCUUCAUCAUUCUUGUCUAUGAAACUAAGAAAUAAUUUUCUUGACUCAGGUUCGAUCUGCACUUGACGUGUGGGCGCCUUUAUCACUACCAAAGCAACUAGCACGAGAAAAUUUCUCUCUCAACAAUAGAGAGAAAAAUCUUUUUCUCUCAUCUGUAUAAAGUGGCUGCUCUCUCUUUCUUUAGAGAAAAUAAGUCUUUUUAUAUCUCCCUUUUGUGAAAACCCUAGGCUCCAAAUUAUCAAAAUCAAAACUCACGUUACUUGCUUUUUCUAUAGGGGACCCACCUUGUAAAAUAACAUAAGGCCCCUUACACACAAGCUAAUUAAAUGGAGCCUCCCACUAAAUGAUAUAUUUAGGCUUUUGACCCAAAUAGCUAGUUAUCUUGCUUAUUAAUCCAGUAGUGGUGCAGUCAAUUAAAUGAGCUAACCCGGGGAUCAUUUGGGAACAUACACUAAUGGCUAUAACAAUUAGGCCUGUAAUUAAACUAGCCUAAUUAUUUAAUUCCAAAUCUACUCCACUAAAAGAUUGGAAUUGACUUCCAUAAUUGUAUGCUCGAAUAAUAAUUCGUCCCAAGCCACAUUGAUUUCUUUACUGCACAAUCCUUUGUACCACAUCAUUAAUUAAAUCGAUAUCUCAACUGUCCAAUCAAUUUAAUUACAUCUUGUUCCUUGAUACUUACUGGUUUUCUCUAAUGAUCAUUUUCAACAUACUAAAUAGUUGACACACUCUGGCCAGAGAAUUCUAUGAUCAAGUACCGAAAACCCAUCAAGAGAUGUGUUGUACAAAUUCUAUAUUAUUAAUCCAUAACUCCAAUACUCAUAAUUGCUCCCACCAAGAUACCGAGUAAUCUUGACCACAANNNNNNNNNNNNNNNNNNNNNNNNNNNNNNNNNNNNNNNNNNNNNNNNNNNNNNNNNNNNNNNNNNNNNNNNNNNNNNNNNNNNNNNNNNNNNNNNNNNNNNNNNNNNNNNNNNNNNNNNNNNNNNNNNNNNNNNNNNNNNNNNNNNNNNNNNNNNNNNNNNNNNNNNNNNNNNNNNNNNNNNNNNNNNNNNNNNNNNNNNNNNNNNNNNNNNNNNNNNNNNNNNNNNNNNNNNNNNNNNNNNNNNNNNNNNNNNNNNNNNNNNNNNNNNNNNNNNNNNNNNNNNNNNAAAUCAAUGCCUAUGAAAUUUAAUAAGUCUGAUAGUUAUUACAAAGUUAAUUAAAUCUCAUAUGUGAUCUUGUUCAAUGUAGUCGUACUACAUUAAUAAAUUCAUACAUGAUUAAGACAAAUCAUUUAAUGAAUUUAUUACAGUCUAUACCUAAAUAAAGUGCCCAACUUUGUUUAUCAACUGCGAACUAAAUUUAUUUAAUCAUAAGAUAACUUAUAUUUAUGUCUUCUGUGAAUCCACAUGGUGAUCACAUAAAUACAUAUAAUAUGAUUAAAUGGACUUUGAUCAAAAUAUUAAUGCAAUUAAGAUAUUUGAAUAAAAUACCUCAUUAAUUUUAUUAAUCAGAAAAAAUGUUUAUUACAAUUAAAUAAACACAUAUGCUUUUAUAGGCAAUCAUCCCACGUUUUCUGAGUAUUCUUCAUGCCCCUCAUUUUCGGGUGAUGACAGACCUUCAUGGGUCUCCAACCGCCGAAUCGUGGGUAAACGUGGAAUGUCAUGUUCUCCCCAGCGGUUUGGGGUAUGGAGAAACUGUCGUGAGUUCUUGAGAUCGUGUCCUCUUUCUUUGGGUGAUGAUUAUCUGGUCGGUAUGUACCUCUGGUCAGUACUCGUCUCUAGUUGGCAUAUGCUCCGUACAGGAUAUAUUACCAAGACACUGCUCGUGCCAUUCAGCUGGGGAGAUUCGUUCCGGGGUGAGGGAUGAGGAGAUAGUUGAGCUGGUACUUUUCAUUACUCAACACACAUACUUGUACCGUGACAAGAAGUAGAGCUGCAACCAGAAUGCAUUUUCAGAAGCGACCGCUUAUGGUGUUGGAGAUAUCUUUCUCUGUGGUCCGGUUGCUUGUUACGCUCAUUUAUUUUAUUUUGGCAGAAUUGGGAGUCAAGAACAAUUUUAAUACAUCUGUUUUCCCACUAAUCUUUGCUAUAUAUAAUUGUUGUUGUGUUUACUUUCAAUACUAUUUAACACAAAACUCUCUUUUAAGUUUCAGUGCCAAAGCUUUAAAGAUGUUAAUAGAUGGGUUUGUGAGUAAUGUUUCAUUGGCUUAUUUUAGAAGUCUGACGAUUUGAUUAUUGUUUCAUGGUUAGAGCCUAGAGAUGGCAUUUGCCCGCAUUUGCCCAUUUGAUUCAGAUUCAAGUUGACUGUAAUUAUAGGUUUCAAUUUUGAUUAUAGAAUAACACUGGGUCCAAGUUUUGGCCAUAGGUGUUACAAUUAAUUUCAAUUACUUUGUAGUCUAGUUGGAUAAAUAUCUCACUCUAGAAUAAUGGGCUAACAUGACAGAAUUUUUGUGAUAGAUAUUAGAAAAUUAGUCAUUUAUCAUAAGAAUAUGCUAGACACGUGACAUAAUUUUCAUACAUCAUAAAGGCAUGACAAAUUUGUGAUAGUUUUUAUACAUCAUAUAAAUAUGAUAGCAUAUUAAUAUUUAAUGAAACGGUGAGUUUAGGAUUGAUCAAUUUGGGCAUGAAACGGCACUGUGUGUUGAUUUUUCAUAAUUUAAAAAAUUUUAAAAAUAAAAAUAUUUUUUAACUUCUAAACACUGUCGUUUACUAUAGACUUUAAACUACAAGAAAAUUCUAAUUUUUAAUAAACACUUCAGUUCCUUUGACUUCAUCACUCCAUCGGGGCUGAGAAACCUAAGCAUUGAAACCCCUCAAAAUCCAUAAUUAACAAGCCCUACUUUAAUCUACAAAUUGGUUUUGAAAUCCAUUGCAUGGAAACCAAAAUCAUCGUAUAUGCCAUUGAAGCAACCACUUCAUUAUAAAUUUUUAGGCCAAAAAUCACCAUAUAUGCUCAUUGUUGCGCCUUCGAACAACACGUUCGCUAUUGAAGCCGUCGUUGUUACUAUUUCUUUUCAUUGUUUAAUUGGCGGUGGAGAAGCCAUCCUUGUAAUUGCUGAAUCCUUAGGUCUAUUGUCAAUUAGCUUUUUAUUUUUUAUUUUGAAUAAAUUAGUUGGGCAUUAUAAAAUUAAUUGUCAGUUUUGUUGUUAUCUCCCUUAUUUGUUUUUAUGUGUCAUGUUUAGCAUGACAUAUUAUCUAUCACGAUUCUGUCAUUGGGUAUCUUGAUGAGAAAUUUUCACCCAUGACUAAUAUCUAUCAUAAACAUUUCCCAUUCAUGACUUUUGUCUAUCGCAUAAACAUGACAUAUUUAAUUGGAAUAAUAAAAUUAUUUUUAUUAAAUCUAAAAGGAAUAACUGAAAUUUUAAAUAAAUAUUAAAAUAUUUAAAGUGAUAAAUAUUUAAUUUGGCGCAAUUAUUUUUAAUUUUUCAAAAUAUUUGGGCGGGAAUUAUUAAAAAUUAUUUUAAAAUCAUUUUGGCACAUUUCAAUAAUAUAUCAAUUAAUUCUAAAAAAUAAAUAAAUAAUCCAAAAAUAAUUCUAUAAUUGACAUCCAAAUCAGCAUCUAUAAUUUAAUCAUUACAACCAAACAAUUCAAGUAAACAAACAUUUGUACAAUUUGGUAUACAAUCUUUCCCAUAAAAAAUAAACACCAAACCCAAUGUCAGAAAAUAUUCCCACUUUUAAAUGAAUCUUCAUGUCUUCAACAUCGACCAAGCAAAGUCCAACAAACUGCCGAUCGUAUUGGCAUGCUUAUGUUUAAGUUCCAGUUGCUGCAAGAUGAAUUGAAGCAAUUUUGAUCCCUGCGAAGCAAUCUUUGAGUACAAGCACUACGCUAUUGGAAAUUUUGGGAAGAAAAAUGCAUAGUAGAGAAUACACAUGAACUCAAAACAAUGUUAUUGCAAUGACUAACAUUGCAAAGAAGAUUCAUCAUCCAAAAUCAGUCAAAUUAACCAAUUAUUAUUUACCAAAGAGAACUCAAUCAAUUUGAAUUGUCAGUGAUAAAUUCAUCAUUCAAAAUCAGCCAAAUUAACCUCCAACUUCGAUUUCAAAGAACCCAAAUUUUAGUUAGGUCAAAACCCAAGGCAUUGAGAGAUCAAUUUCCAUUUUUAACUAUGCAUAAUAAAUAGAAAAAGCCAAUAAAUCAAGGAAUAAUAAGGAGCAACGGAUUUAAUUUUCAAAAUCAAACAAGUUAUUUUCGUCUUGAGCACCAAGCAGGGAGUGCCUAGCUUCUCAAACUUUCUUCUUCGUUUCUUUCGGCUGGGUUCUGUCUUCCAAUGGCUUUCAGAGCUGCUCUGCUUCUGUUGGCCAGGAACUUAUGGCAACAGAGAGAAGUGUGGCAAGUGCUACACUGAUAUGACUACUCGGGGCAAUAAACCCAAGUGCCCCUAAGUUAUAAGUAUUAGCAUCUGUUGAAAUUUUAUGUUAGCUUAAGUUGACCAGCAAUAAGUGUUAAAGAGUAAAUGUUUUUCUAGUGACUUUCUGUGUCACUGCAAGAUUGUGCAUGUAGUGUGUUAAGCCAUGGCUGAUCUACUUCUGUUAGUUUCUUGCUGAAAUUUCCCUUGUUAAUCCUAGACAAUCAUAUAUAAAGUAGUGUAUUUUCAGUUUCCAAAAAAAAAAAAAAAGAAGUUAUUUUCGUCUUUACCUUCUUCACCAGAGCAACGAUGAGCGGUGGAUUUCUUCAAAACUAAAACGAUUUUGGGAAAUUAAAUAGCCAAGUUUCAACAUUACCUUCUAGAAAACUUCAAAAUAAUUCGGGAGUUUCUUGUCAUUGUGAUUAAUUAGAGAACUUUUCCCUUUUUUAUGCAAAAAGCAAGAUAGAAUCAACAAUAAAAGAACACAAAUGCAAAAUAAAGAUUUGUUACCUGGGCCAAUAAAGAGUAUGCAAGAGGGCACAACCCAUUAACACCAAUGUAACUUGGAGGUGAAGAAGGAAAUGGAGUAAAUUGACCACCCACUUCAAGCUCCCCAGUCACCCUUCCCACGGUUGCACCAGACCUCUCUCAACCACCACCUCAGUUUUACUCCUCACAACAACCCCUUCAAAAUCCGACCGCCACCACUGCCCAGAAGUCGCGGGAGUUGCUGCGACCAGCCAUCGAGUUUGUAGAACCCCUUUUCUAUAGUGGUCAACACUACCAUUUUUUUUUUCCAUCUAGAUAAACCACAACUAAGACAUUCAAAGAGCUCUUCAUACUCUUUUCUAUAGAAUAAAUAAAGUAGUGAAUAAUUUAAACCCAACAACAAAGCCAUAGGUAUAAAAUACUGAAGAAACAAACAAACUCAUUGCGGAGAACAAUCAAAUAAGCAUAUGGGUUAUAUACAGUAAUAGGAAAAAAUGUUACCUGGCUCGUAAAGCACGAAAAAACUAGAUCGAUGAAUGAGGAAUUAAGCGAAGAAAUCGCAUCUGUUAUAUAAAAAGGAUAAGGCAAAGAUAAUCAAAACAAAGUGUUUACCCAAAGAUUCACGCUACAAGAUAGAUAAUACUGUUAAUAAAAAAAAUUAGAGAACAUGAAGCUUGAUAAUACCAAAAAUUCCCCAAAUGAGCAUUAGGGUUACCUUGAGAAUUGACUGAAUUUUGUUUGCUUGGCUGGUGCUUUUUAUGCUACGAUGCCAGUGACGUACGGUUUCAAAACGAACAGACAAUGGUUUAAUUAGGAUAAUUUGAAACAGAGUGAAAAAGAUAGACGGUAUUGGGGGCCAAAGCAAAACUGAAGAUGUUGAUAGCUUAAAAGGAAGGAGACUGAUAACUAAACAAGAAGAAUAAUCAAGUAUGACAGCACAACACUGGUAGAAGAAUGACAAGAAUGAGUGGUUUUAGACAAAGGGUUUGUGAACAGCAUGAAGGAACAAGAGAAAUAGCACUUAGGGAUUUGGGUUUCUAAGUGUUGUCAAUGUUUAACACUUAGAAAGAAAAAAAGAAAGAAAGUUGAAAGUACCAAAAUGGUACAAUUUUGCCUGCUGUACGGCCAAGGCGGAUGUACGGUACAGCAGCAUGAUCAGUAAGAUCCGCCGGAUUUUCAACCCACUACCAUCUGUGUUUUACUCCUCACAACAACCCCUUCAAAAUCCGACCGCCACCACUGCCCAGAAGUCGCGGGAGUUGCUGCGACCAGCCAUCGAGUUUGUACGGGUCAUGGAUCUCAAUUCGCGGCAUCCCGCCACGCGUUGGCUCUACCACCGCUUCCAUGGGUCUUCGCAUGGCCUGAGGUUUUUCCAAUCGAAUAAUGACAGCUGAUUUAAGUGGGAGGUUGAGUGAUAUGAGUUGAGUGAUAUGAGUUGAGUGAGAGGCUGAGGUGAUGGCGGCUGUGAAUGUUUCGUUUUCUUUGGCUGAAACUGAGUUAGGGCUGUGUUGUUAGUAAGGGUUAGGGCUGUUUAUUCGUGUGAAAAGAAAACAUACGAAACACUUAAUUUUUCUGAGUGUUGAAAGUUUGGAUCUUUUAAACUAUAACGCUUAAACGACAUCGUUUAACCUUUUUUUUUAAUAAUUAUAAAGUAAAAAUUUUUUGUUAAUGGCAUUUUGGUAAAAUAAAUCAAUUUAAAUACGAUGUCGUUUGAACCCGUGAUUGAUGCCUAUCAAGUUUUAUAAAUGAUUAAAAAAAUAAAAACAGAACAUGACAUGUUUUUAUCAAUAAUAAAUGACAUAAAUAAAUGAGUCACGAAUAUGUCAUAACAGUUUGACAAAAAGAUAUUAGUCACGAAAAUAUCAUUCUUUGAUGAUACUUUCGUGACAAUUCGAUAUGUAUCAUAAAUUUUCUAUCAUAAAAACGCGUUUUUUUAGUAGUGCCUACUUUAAUCUAAAAAUUGGUUUUGAAAUCCAUUGCAUGGAAACCAAAAUCAUCGUAUAUGCUAUUGAAGCAACCACUUCAUUAUAAAAUUUUAAGCACAAAAUCACCAUAUAUGCUCAUUGUUGCGCCUUCGAACAACACGUUCGCUAUUGAAGCCGUCGUUGUCGCUAUUUCUUUGCAUUGUUUAAUUGGCGGUGGAGAAGCCAUUCUUGUAAUUGCUGAAUCCUUAGGUUUAUUGUCAAUUAGCUUUUUUAUUUUUUAUUUUGAAUAAAUUAGUUGAGCUUUAUAAAAUUAAUUUUCAGUUUUGUUGUUAUCUCCCUUAUUUCUUCAUACUUUAUGCCCUGUUUUUGGGAUUUCUAUCAUGAAUGGUUUAUCUUUAUUAUUUAUUUUUUUAAUUCUUGUUUGUUUCAGUUGUUAUUUUUUUAUUUUUUUAAUUCAAGAAGCUUAUACUUUGUCCUUUUAUUAAAUCUUGAAAUUGCUCAAUCAUUUAAUUUAAUAUGUCCUUUUUUUUAUUUUUUUCUGAAUUGCGGGAUUUCACUGCUUUGUUCCCUUUCAAAUUCGAUUUCUAGCAUCAGGUUUGUUCAAUUCUUUACUUGCCUUUCCAUUCAAUGUUUAAACAAUGCUUGCUGGCAAUGGUUUGUCUGAAUUUUGUUAUAUUUUGUAAUUUUUUAGUCACAACUUGCAUUUGUUUUAACUGAUUUUGCUUGAUGAUAUAUCACUUUUCAUUGACUAGUGUUUUUUAUUGGGAUGGAUCCAAAACUGAGGUCCAAUGGUGUUGACGUUUCUUUUUGAGUUAUGCUAUUUAGCCAUAAGGAAGAAAGAGGGACGACAGAAAAGGCAGAAUUUGCUGCCGAUUCACGCGUCCUUCUCACUCUUCCCCAUGGUCCACAAAUACAUUAAAAUAAUGGUUAAAAAAUGGCGCAAAAAUAAUGGUCAAUGAAAUAAGCAAUGGCCCGCAAUAAAGUUUAGAAAUGGAGGCCUGUGAUCUACUCCUGCAGUUGUUCUACAGCUUUAAAAAUAAUGCGGCCAUUUCCUUUCUCCAAGCGGCAGAACUUCGACUUCGAUAGCCAAAUAAAAUAAAAUCAUUGGCUUGCUAUUUAAAAGAUGAGAAAUCUGCAUUCGGUGCCGUCGAGAUUUGAGUUUGGUGCCGACAACCACCACGUCAACAGAGGCAGCUUUGCAGUUGAUACAUAUAAGUGGCACAAAUUGGCCAUUGACCAUUGAGAAGGCAUGGAAUGGAAAUUGUUCGGGUUUCUUUGCAGCUGCGGAAUUCAGCAUUUGGACUCCAUUUGAGAGAACAAAAAUCUACAACACUGACAAUAAGACACUCGGAUCUUUUUCCAUCCUCAUCGGUUCUCUCCCUAAUUGCUACAACUUGCACUAUGACUUGAUGAAUGAAUAAAAAUUUGCUGAUACAAUAUCGUCCUGUAACUAUUUAUGUCAACAGCAGGGCAUCUACUAGACAUGUCCAGAAAAUCUUCUUUAACUAUAUAUCAGAACCUAUUUAACUAUCAGAACCACAUCAACGGCAGCACUGUUGACUGCAAGGUUGUGGCUUUUGUUUCAUUUUUUUUUUUAAGAAAUUGUUGAAAAUGACCGGUUUUGUGCUGCUGCGUGGUGAGGGAGAACGAAGCUGAGACCGACCUAGUGUUGAAACGGGAGAGAGACAUGGAGAAUGUUGGGAGAGAGAGAUCGAGAAUCUUGCUGCUUGGUGAGGGAGACGCGUGAGUUUUUUGCUGGAUUUUUGCGUCCGUGCGUGUGGUGUUUGCACGUACGAACAGGUGGCUUUUAGACCCAAAUUUUUGUGCUCUCCUUUAGUCCUUCAUGUCAAUACCAUUUUCCUUUUUAAAGUGUUAUUUUAAUAUUUUAAACGCCAAAUGGUAAGAGUAAGAAGGACGCGUGAAACGGCAGCUCGUGCUGCCGUUUCCAUCGUCCUUCUCACUCCUUUUUGUUCGUUUAUCAUUUUUCUUUUUUUAAUGAUUGUGAGUUAGAUUUGGUAACUGAUAAUACUUUCUAGUGUAUUUUAUUGAGCUGAAAAGUGAGGCCCCCUUUUUCAAUUGUUUUUUUAUGUUUGAAAGAAAUGGUACCAUAUGGGUGCAAGUUUGGUCAUGUGGAGCAAGGAAUGUUUAGUUGCGUGUAUAUAUAUAUAUAUAUAUAUAUAGUCUUGCGGUCCAUGAAAUGCUGGAUUGUUAGAUUUGUUUUUAAAAAUAAAUGUUAAAUGUAUGUGGGCUAAAUUAUUUAGGAUAUUAUUAGUGGGUAUUGCUAGUUAGAGGUUUUGGUAAACGAUGACAGCACUUUAAUUUAAUAAACCCCGGUCAAGGAAUGGAAUUCACCAUUUUUCGCCAGUUGUUUGUAAGAUUUGUUUGAAUUUUGAGUUGAUAUCAUAUCCAAAUAAUAUUUAUCAUUUUUUUUUUCAAAUGGUCUGGACCACUUUGGAAUUAUGUUUUCAUUUUUUCAAACAAAAAUAAAAUUGAUGUAUUACCCAUAUGAGUUGAUUUAUGAGGAUCAUUAUUUUGAGGAUUGAAAUAAAAUUAUAAAAAUUUGUGGUUUUUCGUGAGGGUGAAAAUGUUGUAUUUUAGUCCUUCUAUUGAUUUUUAGCACUCCAAUGUUUUUUUAAAACAUUUUGAAUCUUUAGGCAAAAUUAAAGUGUCAUAUAUCGUAUAACAAUGGUGACAAGGACUGAAAAUGCAUAUAUUUAUAUUUCACCUAUUUUCUACAACUAAGGCUCGAUUGCAUCUAAGAUUAUUUGGUAGUGGUUAAAUGCGAUGUGUUGUCCAAUUCAUAUAUUUAACAAGAUGAAAUCAAUCUCCAGAAAUAUCAUAACAUAAUAACAUCAAUCAUUAAAAUAAAUCAUGUAAUUAAUUUCAUAAAUUAAAUUGCAUAAGUUUACUAAUUUUUCCUUUUCCUCUUUGGUAUCAAUGUCCUUUCAAUCGCACAACGAAGGGACCAUCCAUUCGUGCUUUGGAAAAAAUGACAAUAAAAUGGCGUGUAUGGCUUUUCAAGUGAAUAAAUGCUCUUGCGUUUUGUGGUGUAAAAGAUUUCAGAAGUACCAAGAGCCAAACUUGGCUCAUCAAUUUGGCGGAACCCACUGGGAGGAAAAAAAAAGGUCGGCGAUCUUGAUCGGCCCUUAUUAACACACGACUAUUCCAACCAAUCAUAUAGCGACGCGUGUGCUGACUUGAUUACGAAAAUCAACCUUUACACCGAGGCCGUUGGAUUUCGUCAUCAAAGUCUGCCACGUUCGUUUUCUUGUUUUUAAAUGAGUUUAGAACGCUUUAAUACAUAUGCAACUUUGGUACGAAGAAUGAGAAAAUGUGCCCACUCUUCCUUGGGAAAUUCUUUUUUUUGGUUUUUGCACUCAAAUUUUAUCGUUUACACCAAUUUUUUAUAAUAGCAUAGAUAAUAUAUCUUUAAGUUAGAAAAUGAGCGUUAUACCAAAUAGCGUCUUGAUGUAUUCAUUCAUUCUUUUUUUUUUCCUUUAAUGGUAAACUUAUAAUUUUGACAAGAAUUAAAGGGAGAUUAAUUGUGGAUGCAAUUAUGCUUCUUAGAAACACUACACUUGUACCUACCAAUGCGAUUAGAGUAGUACACAUUCUGUGGAUGAUACAUUAUUGAAUAUUUUGAAUAUCAAGAUGAGCCAUAAGCAAAUUCAUUAACUAAAUGAAGACGAAAAAUUGUUAUUGCUUCAAACUACAAAUGGAAAUUCACAUGAACAUUUACAAGGUUCAUUACUUAGACCCAUUUUUAGCUUGAGAUUUGAGUUUUAAUGUGAAUUAAUUAGUAUGGAAACUUACGUACAAUCUUCAGUAAAUAAAAAUAUACCUAACAUAUUGCAAGUUGUAAGAUCUCAGAUUCAAACAGCCGAGUCAUGGGUCAACGAAACACUAAUAAUUUUUCAACACUUAUUUUAUUUUAAAUUUUCAACGUUACUGCGUCAAAAAUAUUAUUCAAAGUAUCAACAUCUUAUCGUAUGUUGCCUUGCCCUACGGGUUUAUUAAUAUCGAUGUCUCUUCAUAUUUCCACACCGCAAAUAUAAAUGCAAAGACCCUCAAAUAGCGGCGGUAGCGAUGAAUGGACGAUUUUGAAAAGCAAUUUUCGGAAUUUAAUCAAUUUCCACACAAAUGGGUUAAAGUCAAUGAACCCUAUUUAAUGCGAGUUCUACUAAUAAAUUAAUCCUCACGUUUGUUAUAAACGUAUUUUCGGUGGUGACGAAAUGGUAAAAGUUUAUGACAUCACAUCAAAUAUAAAAAAUAAAUAUUAUUAAGACUAACUUUGGUUGACUUUAAAAAAACAAAAAAGAGUCCAAUGACUUCAAUGUUUGAAUUGCUGCAAUUUGCCUAUAAAAGCAAACCAAGAUCCUUAAAUUUCUUCACAUCUACAAAGUUAAACAAAUUUUAUUUUUGAGAAAACUAUGGCUUUAUCCUUUAUAUGUUUAUUCACAAUAUUCAUACGGUUAGUUUUUCCCUUCAUUUUCUUUAAUUUAACAAUUGCUAACGUCACUACUUCUUCUAUGCUGCCACUCUGCCAUGAUGAUGAGCGCUCUGCUUUGUUGCAAUUCAAAGAAAGCCGCAUCAGUGGUGAUUUUUAUGCUUGGAAAUUUGACUGUCGUCCUACAAUGGCAUCAUGGAAGCCAGAAGAAGGUAACGUUGAUUGCUGCUCUUGGGACGGCGUUCAUUGCAAUAAGAACACUGGUCAUGUCAUCAAGCUUGACCUCUCCCAUAGCUGUCUUUUUGGUUCUAUCAACUCUAGCAGCAGCCUUUUCAAGCUUGUCCAUCUCGAGUGGCUUAAUCUUGCUUUGAAUGACUUCAAUUCCUCCGAAAUCCCACCAGAAAUCAUCAACCUUUCCAGGUUAUCAUACUUGAACCUCUCUGGAACUUCUUUAUCUGGCCAAAUACCAUCAGAAAUUCUAAAGCUCUCCAACUUGGUGUCCCUUGAUUUAUCACUAAAUGAUGUUCCUGGUGGUAGACUUGAACUCCAGAAGCCCAGUCUCGUAAAUUUAGUGGAGAAGUUAAGCAAUCUAAAAACACUUGACCUUGGUGAUGUUUCUAUUCAGUCAACGAUACCUCAUAACAUCACAAAUCUAUCUUCUUCGAUGUUUGUUUCUCUUCAAAACUGUGAAUUGCAAGGUAAUUCAAUUUUAUAUAUUUUCUCCUUAAUUAAUAUACAUGCAAUGUUAAAUUCAUUAGUAAAAACUAUUAUUAUUUUUAAUUUUCUACUUAAGCAAUGUGUUCUUUUUUCUUUUUUAACAAAUUUCAGGAAGAAUUCCAUCCUCACUCGGUAAUCUAUCCAAGCUCCUUCAUUUAGACCUUUCACUAAAUGAAUUACAGGGUGAGCUGCCUGUUUCCGUUGGUAAUCUUUGUUCAUUGGAAGAACUUGAUCUCUCUGCAAAUUUUUUGUCGAGUGAGUGGCCUAUUUCCAUUGGAAAUCUUAGUUCUUUGAAAGAACUUGACCUUUCACAAAAUAGAUUUUUUGGUGAAUUGCCUAUUUCCAUGGGAAAUCUUGGUUCUUUGAAAGAACUUGACCUUUCACAAAAUGGAUAUUUUGGUGAGAUUCCUACUUCCAUUCGAAAUCUUUUUUCUUUGGAAAAACUUGACCUUUCAUUCAAUAAAUUUUCGGGUGAGUUUCCAUGGUCGACGGGGAAUUUUAGUUCUUUGAAGUUAUUAGAUCUGAGGUCAUGUAGUUUUUGGGGCAAAGUUUCACAUUCGAUUGGUAAUUUCACCCGGCUACAAUUUUUGUAUCUUGGAUUGAAUAGUUUUUCGGGUGACUUACUUGGUUCCAUUGGAAAUCUUAGGUCAUUGGAAGUAAUACAUAUCACUAAGUGUAAUUUUUCAGGUCAAAUUACAUCUUCACUUAGGAAUCUUACCCAACUUAUGGUCCUUGACAUGGCUCGAAAUUCUUAUAGCGGAACGAUAGAGUUAGAUGAUUUACUUACUAGCUGGAAAAAUUUGGAAUUUUUAUGUCUCUCAUUAAAUAGGUUGUCAGUGCUCACCAAAGCCACCUCUAAUACCACUUCACAGAAAAUUCAGCACAUAGGACUGCGUUCAUGCAAUCUUACUAAAUUUCCAAAUUUCUUGGAAAACCAAAGUCAUUUGGUGUUCCUGGACCUUUCUAACAAUAAAAUUCAGGAAAAAGUACCUAAAUGGUUGUUAGACCCGAAUAUGCAGAAUCUCAAUGCCUUGAACCUUUCACAUAACUUGUUAACCGGGUUUCAUCAGCAUCCUGUUCUUCUUCCAGGGAAUAAAAGUGAUGCGGUGACUUUUGAUCUUAGCUCUAAUAAUUUACAAGGACCACUCCCAGUUCCACCCCCCGGAACCGUUAACUAUCUAGCUUCAAACAAUAGGUUAACAGGGGAAAUUCCAUCGUGGAUAUGCAAUUUGAAUAUUCUUGAAAGCCUUGUUUUGUCUCACAAUAACUUAAGUGGCUUGCUUCCUCAGUGUUUAGGCAAUUUCAGCGAUGAACUUUCAGUGCUCGACUUGGAGGCUAACAACUUCUUUGGGACCAUCCCAAAUACUUUCAUUAAAGAAAGUAGAUUAGGCGUGAUUGAUUUAAGCCAUAAUCUGUUUCAAGGAAGAAUUCCAAGAUCAUUGAUCAACUGUUCAAAGUUGGAAUUUCUUGGUCUUGGGAACAACCAGAUUAGUGACACUUUUCCGUCUUGGUUAGGAACUCUUCCAAAAUUGAAUGUUCUCAUCCUACGAUCCAACACAUUUUAUGGCAUUAUAGAAGAACCCAGAACUGGUUGUGGAUUUUCGAAACUCCGCAUUAUUGACCUAUCUGACAACAGAUUUACUGGAAAGCUUCCAUCAAAGAGUUUCCUGUGUUGGAAUGCCAUGAAAAUUGUCAAUACAAGUGAGUCCGCAUUAUUGACCUAUCUGCUUUCUCCNNNNNNNNNNNNNNNNNNNNNNNNNNNNNNNNNNNNNNNNNNNNNNNNNNNNNNNNNNNNNNNNNNNNNNNNNNNNNNNNNNNNNNNNNNNNNNNNNNNNNNNUGUACGGUACAGCAGCUCUCAAACAAUAGAUUUGAUGGGGCGAUUCCAGCAUCGAUUGCGAAUUUAAAGGGACUUCAAGUUCUAAACCUCCAGUACAAUAAUCUCCAAGGCCAUAUUCCGUCAUGUUUGGGCAAUCUAACAAAUUUGGAAUCAUUGGAUCUGUCAAAUAACAAGUUUUCAGGACGGAUUCCUCAACAACUGAUUGAGCUCACAUUUCUCGAAUUCUUCAAUGUCUC